UUUUUAGACAAGUUGGGCAUGUGUGACAUCUAUGCACCAACUUGAGGGGGAGUGUUGAGAUAUUAGGAAUGCUUUCCUUAUAUCAUUCUUUCCUUAUAUUAUUUAAUGUUGAGAUAUUAGGAAUGUUUAGAUAUUAGGAAAGUUGAGAUAUUAUGAAUAUUGAGAUAUUAGGAAUAUUGAGAUAUUAGGAAAGUUGAGAUAUUAGGAUAUUAGUUGUUAUUUCCUUAUAUCAUUCUUUCCUUGUAUCAUUCUUUCGCAUUCUUAGAAUGGUGAUUACCCCCUAUAUAUACUCUGUACAUGAACGAAUGAAAGUAUGAAUGAAAAAAACUAUCAUUUAUCAAUUUGAAGAGUUUGUAUUCUUAUAAAUUAAAUUCAAUGUUAUGAUUUUAGUUGAAAAGCAAUGUAAGUUUAAAUUGAUGUGAAUGAAUAAUAUAUUUCCAUUUUAUUUAGUUAUGUAUGGAUUCAAUCUUUUCUUUAUUUUACGAAGAAAAUGAGAAUUUAAUUAGUGAAGUAUUGAAUCAUUGAUUUUAUUAAUGCCCUUAAUUAAAUCAUAGUAAUCAAAUGAUGAAUUCAUGUAAGCUGCAAUAUUAUAUUGUAUUGUGUUUUGUGCAUAAACUUAUUUUCGGAGUCUUUGUUUGGCUCAUUCCACCAUUUGAUUUGGAUUGAAAGUUUAACCUCUAGUUUAAAUUUUAAAAUCCUAGUAGGAGAUUAAGACUAUGUUUGUUUACUGGAAAAUAUUAAGGAAAAAAAAUGUUAAUAACAAUGGUUUCCUUAUGUUUGGUUUCUAAUAUGGGAAAUACAAAAAUAAAAAAAAACAAAAAAAAAACUCAUAUUUUAUUUCAUGAAGUAAAUUAAUUAUUUGAUGUUCACUCAUUUUAUCUAUAUUCCAUUCAUAAAAACUACUACCAUCAUAAUUAAUAGUUAAUUGAUAAUUUCUUUCUUCUAAUUGAAAGUCGGGAAAAGAGGGUUUUGAAUAAUAAUUUUUUCUACUUACAAAAUGAUUAGAAAUCACAUUAAUUGUUGAGGGAGGUUUAACUAUUGAAUCCGGAGACAAUUUUGAAUUGUUCUUCUAUUUUAUUGACUUCUCAUUUUCUUUUUGUUAUAGUUUGAAUUUGAUUUUUAUUUUGAUUAAUGCCAUUAAUACUAAGUUGAUCUAAUCUAAGUUAUAUUUCUUUUAACAUUAUUUUCGUUGGUGGAGCUAGUUGUAUAUUUGAUUUUCUAGCAUUUAUAGGACUAAUAAAAAGUUGAUUUAGAGACUUAGCAAAAUAUGAUGAUGAUGAUGAUAAAGUUGAAGAAAAGUUUGAAGAAAAAGUUGAUUUUGGUAUUGAUUUUGAUGUUUCUCCUAUCUUCCUUCCCAGGGCAAAAGCAAAUAAAAAUUGAGAAAUUUUUGUUGUUUGUUGAGCUAAAUGUUGAAGAUAAUGAUUUGGACAAUUUAAUUAUUGUUAAACUUGUCUAAUAUCUUUAUAAAUUAUGAGAAUUUGUUCAUCUUUGGUUCUUGGAAUUUUGAAGGAUGAGACAAAAAUUGAAUUAUUAUUAAAAUUAAAUUGAUGAUUAUUUAAGGGUGGUUGAGAACCUAAUUAUGAGGUUGUUGUUGAAAUUCUUUUUUGAAUAUUUUUUGAGUGUUUUAUUACCAAUUGACGUCCUUCUUCAUUUCUUAAAGUUAUGAGUUGUUUUCUUUGUUUUCUAAGUUUGAAAAACCAAUAGAAAAAAGGAAUAGUCAUUUUCUUUUGAUUCAUGUAUCUUUCAUAUUGUUUUCUUAAUGCAUUUUUGGCUUGAGGAGGAAAUAUUUGAAAAUAAGCUAUUUUAAUACUAUUGUAAGGGGAAAAAUAAUAUGAUUUUAUCCAUUCUACAUUAGGAGUAAAAUGAUUUUUUUUUAUUUAUAAUUUUUCUUAUGAAUAAUAUUAACUUGAUUAGGAUAUAUAUUGGAAUGAGUAGGUGACACAAGAGGAGAUUCUUGUUGUUGAUAUAUAGGAAUAUGAAUUUUUGGAGUAAAAUUGACACUAUUUAAAUUUGUAGUUGAAGUAGAAGAUCUUGUAGAAAUAAAAUCUUGAUUAAAUGAAUAUUUUGAAGUUUGACUAAAUUCUAUUUGAACAGUACCAUAUGUAUGUUGUAUAAUUUUUGAAGGAGUUGUUAAAAGUUUAAUUGGUUUUGGAUUAGUUAAAUCUUUUAAUUCCCAUUGACCUCCUUGAGUAAUUUAAUUCCAUUUUAGUUUUUUAGGAACAAAGGCUUGAAUAUUGUUAGGAUUAUAUUGUAAAAACGAAAGUAUUUAGUUUCUGCAAGGUUGCUAAAGGUGAAAAGGCCAUGUAUCUUACAUAUUUUGUAAAAUUGCCAACUUUUACUAUUUACACACUAUUUAACACUAUUUAUCACUAUUCACUACUAUUUGAAUAGUUUUUUUUCUUGUGUUUUAUACGCAUUAUUUUUUACUUUUUUUUAUUGAAUAAAUACAAGGAUGUACAAAUGUACAAAAGAUUAUUGAAAUCUUUUAUCUAGAUUUACCCAUAGGUUCGCCAUAUAGAUUUUUGAAAUCUUUUAUCUAGAUCGACCCAUAGGUCCGCCAUACAGGAUGAACUCGGGGUCUACAAAUGAAUCAUUUGAUAAAAUUGUAUCUUCAGUUUCUUCAUUAUCUUUAUUAGCACCAAACUAUUUGAGAGUUUUAAUAAGUCAUUGACGAUAUUGUUCUAAAUUUGUAGCUACUAAUGAAGCUUGACAUUUGCUUUUUAAAGUUAGGAAUUUAGCUUGAGUCAAUCCUUAAGAAGAGCUUGCUGAAUCUUUUGAAUUUGAUGAUCUUGACCUUGAAAUUAUUUGCAGAAUUUUUUGUUGAUACACGAACUUGUGAUUUAAUUUGUCCUACCAUUUGAUAUUGAAUUCUUGGAUAUAGAGAUAAUGAAAAAGGAGGUUGCUCUUACUUUUUGAUAAUAUUCCAUGUAGAAUCCAUAAAAUUCUUAAUAUGGAACAAAACGUUAUUAUUAUUAGAAAUUGCAUAUUGAUGUUACUUGUAAUUGUAAUUACCAUUAACUUUUUACAUUUUGUUUCAAUAUGAUAAAAUUAAGUACAUCAAAUUCAAUUCUAUAAAUAUAUUUAAUGUAUGUUAACACCCAUGUGCUCGCAAUCAAUAUUCUUGUACUUAUCCAUACACAUGUUACUCCUAUCAAAAUACUCAAUAAAUGAAAUAAAAAUAAUGAUAUUGGUCCAAACAAAUAAAAUCACUAUAUACCAUUUCAUUAUUCUUAUUUUACAUCAAAUAAAUUUGUUUAAAUUAUAAUUUCUACUCAUUACAAAAUUUUACUAUAGGAAUUAACUUAACUUGAAAUGUAUUUUCAUCAUAAUUUAUAUAUUUAUUUAAUUUGCUUGUUUCACUCUUUUUGAAGCUUCAAUCUUAAAAUUCUUUGAUUUAUUUUAGAGUUGAUUAAAUAUGAUAACUUUACGAUGAUGAAUGACACUGUAGACCCCCUUUGGUGGUGAGGCCCGGGAAGUUGAUUUUUCUUUACUUUUCAUUAUAUUUUUAGAAGGGGUAGGGGACCCUUAAUCCCGUCUGCAUGAGACGUGCAACGGCAGAGGGGUGAUGGCUGGCCAUGCUUGCUGAUGUGAUGAACAGGAAAGGGAAGGGUGGCUUGCGAAGAAAGAUAGAAACAGGGAGGAGAGGAAAAAAAAAACCAGAGCGGGUGGAGUUCCGGGGCUUUCCGGACUCGCUUCUGGGAGUAGACACACCUAGCUCGAAACCAAACAGACACUUGUUUGAAAGGAGGAUCAAAAGGUAAGUGCAAGCUCUACGUCUUUGUUUUCUUCAUUACCUUACCUUGCUCCUCACUGGUUUCUUUGCAUUGUUUGGACUGAGUGUGGGCUUAAGGCUAUCCUUUUGAUUUACUUGUUGAUCUUCGAGAUGAUUGUAGGCUGCUUGUUGUUGUUUCAUAUCUGCGAUUCCUUUUGAUUUUGCUAAAAGAUGAUUUCACUCUGUUUUGUCUUUACUGCUAAGUGCUCGAAAAUCAUGUUUUGUUCCUAUUCGAUCUGGUCUCCCCCCCUCGAUCAGCCUGCUCACUGAUAAUCCAUGCAAUGGAGCUUCGACUGAUGUCUUGUGCUUUUUGUUUUGUCAUUCUCUCUUUCUGGAGACGUUUCUUUGCUAUGGUUUUCCUCUGUUUCUGGUUUUUUUUAUUUAUUCAAAUGCAUGAGCCACAAGGAAGGAGGUCACGAGCACUGUUGAGCCUGGGUAGUUUGCCUGGUCUGGAUCGGUUGUUGAAUCUAAAUAUACUCUGGAGGUAAACAGUGAAGAGAGAAGGCAGGUAGAGGCCUUGACACAGCUUUGUGGGAUGCUUUCCCUUGAUACCGAGGAGUCACUCAGUACAUUUUCAUUGGAUUCCUUCGUGCUAGUGCUUGUGGGUUUGCUCAAUCAUGAGAGUAAUCUUGAUAUUAUGCUUCUUACGCCCAGGCAUUGAUCCAUUAAUGUGAUGUACUGCUUUCUUCAUGUGUAGCAGUAGUGCAUUUUGGUGCAGUCUCAUGCCUCUGUGCUAGGUAGCUCACAACUGAGUAUAUGGAUAAGGCUGAACAGUCUUUACAAGCUCUUAGGAGGAUAUCUUAGGAACACCUAACUGUCUGCUUGCGAGCUGGGGCACUCAUGGCAGUGCUUUCAUAUCCGGAUUUCUUCUUCAUGGAGGUCCAACGAGUGGCCUUGUCGACUGCUGCAAAUAUGUGCAAGAAACUCCCUUCAGAUGCAGCUGACUUUGUGAUGGAAGUUGUCCCUUUGUUGACGAAAGUGAUCAUAACUUUCCACCCUCAACCCCAUCACCAUGCUCGUCCAUCACGGAUGUCCCUAUCUAUUAUAUCCAUCACUUUCAACCUCAUCUAGGCACCCAAAUCUCACUGCAUGACCACUCAACAUUCCCCCCAAGCCUCCUUUUAAGAGCCCUAAGUUCCUACUUACCCUCAUGCACGAGAAACCCACGUCAAUGACCACUUUUCAUACCCCCCAUGCAUGCCCAUCUCCCUCUCCAUUGCUAUCCCCACCACUACCUGCCAUUCUAGGAAUCCCAUGGUGGCUGUUGCCGCCGUUGCCGCCUCCAACGCCAAGAAUGGUAGCCACAUCAACCCACUCCUAUCUGAUUCCAACGCCGAAGGCCCCUCCUUCCCCAGCAUGUCCGUCUUGACCGUGCAGCCAGCUGCCAUGAGGAACGGCCUGGCCGAUGCGCCCCGUCAGCUCCUGGCCGCCUCUCUGUCGCCGCUCAGUCCACCCUCAGCUAUCCUCGUCGCUGCGUGGAGGUGAACGUGUGUAGACAAUCACCAUCAAUCAUCAAAAAGGCUGUCUUUGGGCUUGAAUUAAAGCACUAGGCCCAGCUGUGGUGGUAAUGGAGUCUUGAGUUUGCUCUUGGUGACGGGUUUGGGCUUGAGUUGGAGCCCAACCCAACCAUGUUGAUGAAGNNNNNNNNNNNNNNNNNNNNNNNNNNNNNNNNNNNNNNNNNNNNNNNNNNNNNNNNNNNNNNNNNNNNNNNNNNNNNNNNNNNNNNNNNNNNNNNNNNNNNNNNNNNNNNNNNNNNNNNNNNNNNNNCCCCCCAUGCUAGCCACCCUCAUUGGCCCAUGCCCACAUCAAUUUAGCCCAUUAGGUUGCCCAAAUCCUAAAUAAUUCUCUUAAAAAUCUCUAAUAUCUAUAAUUAAUUAAUUUAAUCAUUCCCUUUUAUUUGUUAUCUUAUUCUAUUUUUACCAAUUUAGUUAACUCAAACUUAAAGACAAUUAAAAAACAAAUUCUUAUUAUUAAUUAUAUUUUUAUCUCGAAAUUUAUACUAUUUAAUUUUACUAGUUUAAACAUUAUGAUUGUUGAUUAUUAUUAUUGUUUCGUAUGUAUCCAUUUAUCAUCUUUUAAAAAUCUCAUUCAUUAAAGUUAAAUUCUAAUCCUUCAAAAACCCUAUGUCUUAAAUCUAAUCUUUACAUAAUCCGUUCAAGUCUCAUUUUCAUCAAUUGGAAUUAUUAUCAUAUAAUUAUCUAGUUAUUUAAAGUCUAACCCUUUCAAAAAUCCCACAUCUUAAUCUAAUUUUUCUAUAAUUGGUUUAAAUCUUAUUUUCAUUAAUUAGAAUUAUAAUAUCGUAUUUAUCUAGUUAUUUAAAGUCUAAUCCUUCAAACAUUCUAUAUUUUAAUUUAAUUUUUCAAUUCUAAAAAAAUCCACAAUUCGUUUAAACCUUAUUUUUAUCAAUUAGAGUUAUUAUCCCAUAUUUAUCUAGUUAGUUAAAUUUUAAUCCUUCAAAAACCUUAUGUCUUAAAUCUAAUAUUUCCAUAAUCCGUUCAAGUCUCAUUUUCAUCAAUCAGAAUUGUUAUCAUAUAAUUAUCUGUUAUUUAAAGUCUACCCCUUUCAAAAAUCCCAUAUCUUAAUCUAAUUUUUCUAUAAUUGGUUUAAAUCUUAUUUUCAUUAAUUAGAAUUAUAAUCUCAUAUUUAUCUAGUUAUUUAAAGUCUAAUCCUUCAAACAUUCCAUAUUUUAAUUUAAUUUUUCAAUUCUAAAAAAUCCACAAUUCGUUUAAACCUUAUUUUUAUCAAUUAGAGUUAUUAUCCCAUAUUUAUCUAGUUAUUUAAAGUCUAACCCUUUCAAAAGUCCUAUGUCUUAAUCUAAUCUUCAAUAAUCAGUUCAAAUCUCAUUUUCAUCCGUUAUAAUUAUUAUAACAUAUUUAUCUAGUUAUUUAAAGCCCAAUCCUUCAAAAAUCCUAUGUCUUAAUCUAAUAUUUCAAUAAUCCGUUCAAAUCUCAUUCUCAUCAAUUAGAAUUAUUAAUCAUAUACUUAUCCAUUUAUUCAAAGCCUAAUCCUUCAAAAAUCCAACGCCCUAAUUUAAUUUUCAAUUAAAAAGACUCCACUACUCAUUUUAUUUAUUUAUUUAUUAUUCGUUUAAACAUUAUUUUGUUAAUUAGCAUCAUUACUCCAUAUUUAUUUAUUUAUUUAUUUCAAUCAUUAACACUCAAUUCUUCAAAACCAGAUUUCCAAAUUUAAUCUUUAGACUAAAAAACUCCUCAUUCGCUUUUAUUCAUUUAAAUAUCAUUUUUGUUAUCAUUAUUAUAAAUUCCAUGUUUACUUAUUUCUUUCUUCUAAAACUUCCAAUAAUUAAAGUUCAAUUAUUCAAAGAUCCGACUUUCAAACUUAAUUUUCAAAAUUCCAUUAUUCAUUUUUUUUAUCUAUUUAAAAUGUUAUUUCCUUUAAUUAGCAUUAUCAUUCCCUAUUUAUUUACUUAUUCUAAUCGUUAAAGUUUAAUUCUUAAGAAUCCGGCUUUUCAAAUCUGAUUUCCAAUCUCAAAAGCUCCAUCGUUCAUAUACCGCCGUUUAAUGAUGAAAAAUAGAGAAAAAUUGAACCAAGACAAAAAGAACUUCAACUUGAUGACAUUUAGGAACUUAGGAAGACAACCAUGACUCAAAAAUAUGCAACAAGAUGUCCUAGACAAGUUUUAGAGGAUGUCAACGAAGUGUGCAUAAACCUAUGGAUCUUCUAAGUGAUUCAAACCUAGACACAUCCAAAGGUUUAGUGAGAAUAUCAACAAUUUGACCCUCUAUUGGAACAUAUUCCAAGGAUACAACUUUGUCUUCAACUAAGUCACGAAUGAAGUGAUGUCUAAUGUCAAUGUGUUUUGUUCUAGAGUGAAUAACGGGGUUCUUGGAGAUGUUGAUGGCACUAUAAAACACAACCAUGGUUCUUUGAUCAAUUCCAUAAUUUUUAAACAUUUGCUUGAUCUAUAGAAGCUGAGAGCAACAACUUCUGACGACAAUGUAUUCAACUUUAGUUGUCGAGAGUGAAACGAAGAUUUGUUUCUUACUCAUCCAAGCAACCAAACAAUUUCUUAUAUAAAAACAAUCACUUGAAGUGCUUUUCCUAUCAUCCACAUUUCCAGUCCAAUCAGCAUCAGCAUAAGAAUGAGUGUCAAAUAGAUACCAAAGGCCUAGCUUUAAAGUACCAGCAAUGUACCUAAUGAUGAGCUUAAGAGCUAUGAGAUGAGAUUCCUUAGGAUAUGCUUGAUACCUAGCACACACUCCAACACUAAAAGCUAUGUCCGGUCUACUAGAAGUGAGGUAUAUAAGGCUACCAAUCAUGCUCAUAUAUAAUGUUUUUUGUAUCCUUUUUUUGGAUUCAUCUUUACUUAGCUUUAGGUUGAUAGGCAUUGGUGUCCUAAAAUGUUUGGUUGACUCAAGCCCAAACUUUUUGACAAGUUCUCUUACAUACUUGGAUUGGGAUAAGAAAAUCCCAUCCUUGAGUUGUUUCACUUGGAAACCAAGAAAGUAAGUCAAUUCCCCUACCAUGCUUAUUUCAAACUCACUUUUCAUAUUUUUGGAAAAAUCUAAAGCCCACUCAUUGGAGAUAGAGCCAAACACUAUGUCAUCCACAUAGAUUUGUGCUACCAAGAACACUUCAUCAUUUCUCCUAAUAAACAAUGUUCGAUCUGCUCCCCCUCUCAUGAAUCCUUUCAUAAGAAGAUAGGAUGUGAGUAUUUCAUGCCAAGCUCUAGGAGUUUACUUUAAACCAUAGAGGGUUUUUCUAAGUCUAUAAACAUGAUUAGGAUACCUAGAGUCUUGAAACCAUUUAGGUUGUUCCACAUACAUUUUUUCAUUGAGAAUCCCACUAAGAAAGACACUCUUGACAUCCUUUUGAAACAAUUUAAAUUUCCAUGUGCAAGCUACAACGAAGAGUAUUCAAAUGGAUUCAAGUUUUGCAAUUGGAGCAAAGGUUUCAUCAAAAUAAAUUCCCUCAAUUUGCUUAAACCCUUGAGCAACCAACCUAGCUUUAUUUCUCACAAUCACUCCAUUUUCAUCCAUCUUAUUUUUUAAAAUCCAUUUUGUUCCAAUGACAUUCACAUCCUUUGGUCUAGGCACUAAGAACCAAACUUCAUUUCUAGAAAAUUGAUUUAGCUCUUCAUGAAGAGCCUCUACCCAAGCUUCAUCAUUCAAGGCUUCUUCAACAUUUUUUGGUUCAAUUUGGGAGGUAUAGCAAACAUAACUUAUCUCAUUUAGCUUGGCUUGUCUCCUUGUUACCAUGUUAUCCUCAUAGUUCCCAAUCAUAUUGCUCAAUGGAUGGUUUUUAGGUACCUUUGACUUAUUUUUCUUUGAUGGCUCAAUUCUCUCCCUAUUUCAUUUCUUUCCUUGCUCUUCUCUAUUUUCUUCCUUAACUUUUCAUCUUCAGAUUUUUCUUUAAUCAAUUCAAUCUCUUUUGACACAUCAAUUCUAUCCUCAUCACACUUUCUUGACCUUGAUCCUAGAUCAUCCACAAUCACAUUGAUUGAUUCCACCAUACAUUUUUGUUGAUUUUCGUGGAGCGAUUUAUGGUGAAAAUUAGAGAAAACGAAAAGAAAAACACAGAUUUAUCGUGGUUCGGUAGAUUGCUUACGUCUACAGGAACAAGGAAGAAGACUUUCACUAUAUCUCUAAUUAGGGUUACAUAAAAGGGUAUUUUACUAACCCUCAAAUAACAAAAAAAAUCCAAAAAUACCCCUAAAUCGUAUUGUGGGAGGGCGUUGCCCUCAUAUACCCCCCAACCUAUCGUUCACCCUCAACAAUAAAAAUACAAGCUUGAAUAGAAAAUGUCAUCACUUCACUCCAAAAUUUGCCCAUUAAAUAUAUAUAUAUAUAUAUAUAUAUAUAUAUAUAUAUAUAUAUAUAUAUAUAUAUAUAUAUCUUUCACUCAAUAUGAACCGCAUAUUACAACAAAUUUGAACUCAAAAUGUAUGCUCUAUAUGCCCAACUUUUGGUGGAAUAUCCCUUCAUCACUCUUAGACUCAGAAACUCACCAAGAUUUUCAUGAUCUUUCAAGACAUAACAUCUACUUCCAAACACCCUAAAGUACUUCACACUAGGUUUCUUUCCUUUCUAUAGCUCAUAACAAGUCUUCUUAAUGUGAGAACGUAAGUGAACUCUAUUGGAAGUAUAACAAACUAAGUUGAUGGCUUCAACCCAAAAAUGUGCAGGAAGUUCAUGCUGAUUUAGCAUUGUUCGGGCCAUUUCUUGAAGGACAUAAUUCUUUAUCUCAACUACCCUUUUUUUUAGGUGUUAUAGAAGUGGAAAACUUAUGUUUGAUUCCUAAAGAAUGACAAAAUUCUAGAAAAUCAAAAUUAUCAAAUUCUCUUCUCCUAUCACUCCUAACUUUUUCAAUGGGAUACCCUUUUUCAUUUUGAAUUUUCAAACCAAUGUUCUUGAAAUUUAUAAAUGCUUCACUUUUAUUUCUUAGGAAUGCAACCCAUGCCUACCUAGAAUAAUCAUCAACCAUCACCAAAAUGUAUUUCUUGCCUCCUAAACUCUUAGUUCUUAUUGGUUUCAUGAGGUCCAUGUGUAAGAGUUCUAAAGGUUUAGAGGUCAAAAUUUUAUCCACUCUCUUAUGUGUACUCCUAUUUUGUUUUCCCUUUUGACAAGUACCACAAAUAGGAUUAGAAGGUUUUCCAAGCCUAGGAAUCCCUUUGAUGACUUCAUUAUUAGCAACCUUCAUCAAGUCAUGGUAGUUUAAAUGACCCAACCUAUGGUGCCACAAAUCAAUUGAUUCAAAUUUUGAAAUAACACACAUAAGGGAAGAAGAAGAAGAAGUUGAAGGAUUUUGACAAACAACAUAACAAUUAUCUGAAGUUCCUAAUCCAAUCAUCACAUAAUUUCCAUUCAAAUCAAGCACUUCAUAUAAAUUUUGUGAACAUUGAACUUCUUGUCACAUAUUUGACUAAUGCUAAUCGAGGUAGCUUUCAAUCCUUCCACAUAUAGGACCUCUUCAAGGUUAGGGAUGUCGGGAGCACAAAUUGUGUCUUUCCCUUUCACACUAGCAAUAUUACCAUCACCAAAAGUCACAUUUCCUCCAUCAAAUUCAAUGAAAUUAGUUAAGAAUGAUCUAUUACCUAUCAUAUGACAUGAACAACCACUAUCAAAGUACUACGAGUGUGACUCAAUAGCCCUAAGUGCAAUGUGAACAACAANNNNNNNNNNNNNNNNNNNNNNNNNNNNNNNNNNNNNNNNNNNNNNNNNNNNNNNNNNNNNNNNNNNNNNNNNNNNNNNNNNNNNNNNNNNNNNNNNNNNUUGUAACAACCUAUUUUUAAAAGGGAAUGAUUCAUUCAUUAGGUUGGUCAACUUUCUUUGUAAACUCUUAAACAUCUUAGCACAACAUCUAUCAACGGUGUGUCCCAUUUUAAUGCAAUGAAGUUUCAGUUUAGAGAGGGUUUUCUUAGGGAACACUCCUUCACAAGGCUUGACAAAAAUUGUUUUAUCACUACUUGGAGUGGUAGUUUCAUCAACAAAACCUAAACCUUUUUUAUCAAAUGAUUUCAUCUGCGAAUUGAUCAAAUCACUAAGUCCUUUAGAGUUAGGAUGUGACUCUUCUUUCCUAAGACUCAACUCAUUCUUACACACUUGAUUUUCAUUCUUCAAUUCAUCACACAUUUUCUUUAUGUCAAAGUGUUCCCUCAAAGUGUUCACAUUUUCUUUAGAAUUUUAACCUCAUUGAUUAAACUCCUUUUAGAAGCCUUCCACUCAACUUGUUCCUGUUUGAGACUUAAGCACUCCUUAUACAAAGUCUCAUAUGCAUAGUCAAAACUUAUCUCAUCACCAUCAGAGUCACUUACCUCACAAGACUCACCAAGAACCUCUUUCUUGAGUGGUUCUUUAAUGACACUUGCCAUAAAAGCUGUGAAAUUAGUGCAUUCCUCACUUGCAUUAGAUUCUUUUUCACUUGAUUGACAUGAUUCCGUGUCACUCCAAGUGACUUGCAUGACUUUUUUUCUUUUUUUCUUUGAGGGACAUUCGGUGGCAUAAUGCCCAUUUUCCCCACACUUGAAGCACUCAACCUCAAGGUCCUUUUUUAUAUUCUUGUCUUUCUUUUUGUCUUUUACAUUUGAUUUUUCCAUUGAAUUGUUCCAUUUUUAAGCAUCUUCCUUGGACUUUUUCUUAUAUUUCCUGAACUUCAUGUAUUUUUUGAAUUUUCUAGCAAAUCUAGCAACUUCUCUAUUUGACAUUUUCUUAUCACCCUCACUUUCAGAACCUAAGGACUCAUCUUUAAUGGCAUUUGAGGCAAUGACUUUGAUUUCCUAGGGGAUUCAAGAGUUAUUUCAAAGGUUUGGAGUGAGCCUACAAGUUCAUCUACUUUCAAGGAAUCCACAUCCUUAGACUCUUCAAUGGUAGUGACUUUUGCGCUAAAUCUCUCAGGAAGAGAUCUUAGAAUUUUUCUAACCACUUUCGAGUUAGGGAUGGGCUCACCUAGAUUAAAGCUAGAAUUCAUAAUGUCCAUUAGCUUUGCAUGAAACUCUCCAAAUUUCUCAUGAUCUUCCAUCCUAAUUGUCUCAAACCUAGCGGUCAACAUUUGAAGUUUGGACACUUUCACAACAUUAGUUCCUUCAUGAGUCACUUAGAGGAUAUCCCAAGCCUCCUUAGCCGAAGUACAUGUAGCUAUCCUAUAGAAUUCAUUUGUGCUAAUAGCAUUAAAGAUGGAAUAUAUGACUCUAGCAUUGUUCUCACUAGCUUCAUUGCCACCUCUAUCCCAUUCCAACUUAGGCUUAAUAACAUUUGUUGGUCUACCUUCUUUAUUCAACAUCUUAGGUGCAAACUAACCAAAUUCAACGACAUUCCAAACUUUUUCAAUUUGCAUUUUGAAAAAAUAUUGCAUUUUCACUUUCUAAUGAGAAUAAUUUUCGUUGGUUAAGAAUGGUGGUCUCCUAAUGAAAGAUCCCUCUUGAUGAGGCUCCAUAAUUGAAAUUCAAGGAUUGAAAAUGAUUUUUACUUUAAAAACCUACUCUGAUACCAAUUGAAAGGUGAAUCUCAAUAAUGGACUAUACCUAAAAUGGGAGUGAAUAGGUGUUGUUGAACUAUAAAAAAAAUUUUCCAACAAAGAUUACCUAACCUUAGAAUUUCUCAAUAUCAAUAAACUUCUCUUCCAAGUAUGUAUGUAUGCACCAACACUCUCUCAACAAUUUAUAAAUGCAAUUCACAUGCAAAUGCUCAAGUAUCCAAUGAUAUCAAAAAUUGAAAAUAAAACAAAGAGUGGAAUGAGAGAAAGAGACAUUUGACACCAGAUUUUAAUGUGGAAAACCUCCGAAAAGAUAAAAAACCACGAGUCUACUAUUGAUAAAAAAAUCUACUACGAAGAAUAAAAACUGAAUACAAGGUUUUACCUAACUCAAGUCAACCAAUCCUUCUUGAACCACUUGACUAGUACCUUCACUUUUAGCUUCUUACCUUUUUCUUCUAGAGCACACUUGGAGUUUGCACCAAACUUGAUCUCAACCUUUUCUUGAAUUCACACAAGAAGAAAAAUGAGUUUUUUUUUACACAAAACCAAGAGAAUAAGAGAUGAAUGUUUUAGAAUCAACCCAUGCUCAUUUUUCGAAAAUCUAUUAAAAAAAAAUUCUUGUAAAACUUGGAUGCAUUUUAUUAGUAGGCAAAGACCCUUAAAAUGGUGAGGAAAGAAAAACUCUCUCACGGCUGCUGCAGUCACCACUUUUAGAAAUGGGAGAAAUUUGAUUUUAAAUGAGAAUGAAACCCUUAAUACAAGGGUUGAAAAAUGAUCUUAAAAAUAGGUUAGUUGGAUCAAUCUGCCCUACACUUGGAUCAAUCUAGAAACAAGGGAACAAAAGCCUUUCACUAAAAAAUAUUUCUCCCAACUUUCUUAACUCUUUUAAAGAUGAAAAACAGGGUUGAUUCAUAUUCAAUCACCAUACACUCAACUACAUACCUUAGCCUCUUAGCAAAGUUUUAAUCUUCAAAAGUCAAGUAGUCCGAAAAGGAAUUGGAAAACCGAGUUAGGGAACAUUUAGGAAUUUUGUUUGGAAUUUCCAACCUAGCUAAACACUCACAUCUAUCAUUGGGGUUAACUACCUAGUCAAUAUUGGAAAAGGCAUGAAGACGGAGUGGAAAAUUCUUAUGCAAUAAGAGACCAUGAUGAAGUUUACCAACCAAAUAACAAAGUAGAUGCUUGAUUGUGGACCAAUGCAUGAUGGUGGUUGGACACAUAAACUGGGAACAAUCCCACCUCUAGGAGAUAUUUUGGACUUCCAUGAACAGGAGGUCAAUGUGAACUGCAAUCAACUUUAGUUCCUCACUGAACUUCCUAUUCUUUAGCAUAUGAGUAUCAAUAGACUGGAACUAAAACAAAGUACAAAGUUUUUAAUAUAUUGAUUGAAAAAAUGAUAAAUGACCAAAUGAUCAAAAAUGAGAGAAAUUGCAAAUUGGAUAAUGAAUACAUAUCAUGGACGAGACACAAACUAAAGAGAUCAUAGAUUUGAGAGUAUGGUGGAAGUAAAAUUGUGUCAAUUUAAUGACUUUUUUUAUUGUACAUCGAUUUAAAAAUGCAAACCUUUAAAACUUCGUGACUUUUUCAAACUUAUUAUUUUAUGAAACAAUUUGGCAGUAAAUAAUAAAAAUUGAAGCUAUUAAAAGUAAGAAGAAACAUUGGAUUGCAAAACUGAAAUAUAUUAUGGAUGAUAUGCUUGAAUCAAAGAACAUAAAUAUUUUAUGAGUCAAUCAUCCAUUACCUUUGAAGCUCAAAUUCAAUUUCAAUUCUGGAAACAUUGAAGAACUGAGGGGCACAUCCCCUUCUGGCGAUGAUUCAAAUUCAGGGCAUACAACAUUUUGAAGCUCAUUAAGAGAUCUUUGGUUGUUUAUCCAGUCUAAUAAAGUUGCUAAACAAGAAUAGUGUUUUAAGAAUUUCUAGAAUGGUAACUAACAUUUUGAUGUCCCAAUGAUUAAGACACCAAUUCAAGCUCCUAAGUCCUUGCAAUUUGCAUGUGAACCUCAUCCCCAUUAUCUAACAAAAGAAGUUGUCUCCAACAUUAUUCAAGGUAUCAAAGUUAAAUGACAUUGAAUCCACUGGUGGAGAUGUAUAUCAUGAUAGUUAAUUUUAACCAUGAAAAUGCAUAUCAUUAGUAAUUGAUAUCUUUAAAGAUUCGAUUUGCAAACCAACAAAGUUCAAACUAAAUUAUAAUAUGACUAAUGGUAAUAUCAAUGGACUAUUGUUUCUCUCUUUUCUAACUCCACUUGGUUAUAGUUGAUGUUGAAGAAAAUAGUAUAAAGCAGACCAAUAACUUCUGUUUCGUUUAUCCUAAUACAUACAGAGAGAGUAGAGACAAGACAAGUAGUACUAUUGAAUUUUUUUUCCUUUACUUGAUCCAGUAAUAAACAAAAUUAUAAAUGAGUACAACACCCUCAAUAUAUCAAUAGUAAAAUUUACGAUGCAGCAGCCAUCCCUACUUGGAGAAGGAUUGCCUGAAAUUUAUGUCCACCAGCAGAUUUGAAUUGAAAACAGAGCAAAAGCCCGUUCUGCGUUAGUCAUCUAAUAGAAUAUGAAUUUAUGGGUCAUGUGAAAUCUUUAGGGCGAUCCAAGACUUGUGUCCUUCUAGCAUCCCUUUGGGCAUUAAGCCAAUCAUAAGCUUCUUUAAGGAAGGUGAAAUUUGUGACAAUGGUUUGAAAAUGGAAAUCAAACUUGCAGAUCUAAACAUUUUAACAAACAUAUGAGGUUCAAAUAUAAAUGAAAACGCAGCAUUUUGCAUGUAAGAUAAUAAAAUUGAGAAGAAAGUUGGGUGAAAAUGACAUUCUGUAUCCCUAAGUUGAGUGAUCAUGAAAAUGCUUCAUGAUCUUCGACACGAAUAUGUGGGAUAUGAGCAAUCUUGGGCCAGUCUUCACCUAUUUCCUCUCGACAUUUUUCUGUUAGGUGCUUACAAUAAUAUAUAUUAAGUUGUGUAAGUGAGGUGAGGCAGCCUAUCCAGUGUGGUAAUGCUGCCAAAUGACAACAGUGUUCAAUUGUGAGACAUUGAAGAGUUGAAACAUGUUGAAGCAGCUCAUCUGGGAGAGAUGUCAUAUCAGCCAUGUUGUUCAUACAUAGCAUCUCCAACGAAGAUUGUGAGACAAGAACUAACUGCCGUAAUACCUCAGUUCUCUCGUUAUGCCGGUAUAGAGUCUUAAGAGAAGGUAAUGAAGACACUUGCAAGGAUGUCAACUUGGCCCAACCGUUGAUCUUUAACUUAGAAAGAAGAGGAGAUGAACACAAUUCCAUGGAUGUCAACUCAUCACAAAAGUUGAUCUCUAAAUGUGUAAGAAGAGGAGAUGAAUGCAGUAGUAAGGGUGCCAGCUUGCAGCAUUGUCGGAUCUCUAACCCAGAAAGAAGAGGAGAUGAAUGUAGUUCCAAGAAUGCCAAGUCACCACAAUAUUCGAUACCUAAUUGUGAAAGAAGAGGAAAUGGUGGCAGUAGUAAGGAUGUCAACUGAGGGCAAGAAGUGAUUUCUAUUGUAGAAAGAAGAGAAGAUGGAGGCAGUUCCAAAGAUGCCAAGUCAUGGCAAUACGUGAUCUGUAAUCGCGAAAGACAAGGAAAUGAAAAAGGUGGGUGUGUUGGAGGUAAGUCCCUCUUCCACAACUCCUUUAACUUUGGCAUUUGAUUGACAUUGAGGUUUUCAAGAGAUGGGAAGAAUGGCCCUUUUGAUGAACACUCCUCCAUGCACUCCACAUUUUCUAAAUAAUCAAGCUGUAGAGACUUGAGGUGCGGAAGUCAAACGAAGCAUGGCAGAGUGUGGCAUCUUGAACAUCCUUCCAAAUUAAUUGUGAUGAGGUUAGGUAGCAUGGUACUCAACCCACCAUUCAUCAUCCAACUAGGAAACCUCAUUCCACCAUAACCUUUUAGGUUUGGAUGUGGUUGCAGGCCUUCCAUCGGUGAUUCGGAAUCUUCACUCGAUUGGGCUCCUCGGUACCACCACUCUAAUCUUAAAGAUUGAACAUAUUUUUUCUCCUUUAAAUUUGCUUUCCUGGAUUCUACCACGACAUCCCUCACAUUUUGGAGAUUUUCAAUCCUUAGUUCUCCUUUGAGAUUGUUAAGCCCUUUCAAUUCACUCAAUCUACCAAUUUCAUGAUCAUCCCUGAAUCCCCCUCCCCUAUUUCCAACAAUGAAUACCCGUAGGGUUUGAAGCAAAGUCAACUCUCCUAUUCCACAUGGCAUAUGAGUCACACCACAACACCCAUUAUUCUCUAAGUGCCUAAGAUUGAUCGAUUCUCUUAUAUCUUUGGGAAAUUCUUUUAAUUUAAAGCAUUGAGCAAGCUGUAAUAUUUGCAAAUUUUUUAACUUUGUAAUACUAUUUGGGAGUAUCUCAAAUUUAUUUUUGGAGAGAUCGAGAUAUCUUAGAUGAGUCAAUUGGUCUAGACACUUUGGUAUUGAAUUUAAAUAGAAAUGAUUUAGGCCCAACACACGUAAACCCUUAAAACUUGAACUUGAAAAGGUUGAAUUAAAAAUUACAUUCUCUUUACUAUCAUAUUGAUUAGAUCUUUUAAUACUUAAAAGGGUCCUUAUGUGUUUCACCUUCAAAGCUGUCAACUUGAGAUUUGGUCCAGAUAAUGAAACAUGAAGAACUUCUUUUGAGAUCUCCUUCACAUCAUCAUUUAAAGUAAGGACCUCAGAUCCUAUAACUGAUUGUGCAAGAUCAUGGAUAAGAUCAUACAUUUUACAACUUAAUAAAUUAUUAUAAGCAUCCUUUUCAAACUCUUCCAACAAUAAUCUUGACAAUAAUCCCUCAAAAUAUUCAUCCCCUACAUCCUCAUCUAAAAUAUAGCCUUGCGCUAUCCAUAACUCUACCAACAAUUUUUUCUCAAUUUCAUAGUCUUUUGGAAAUGAUGCACAAAAAGUAAAACAUUGUUUCAAAUGUAUUGGUAGAUUAUCAUAGCUUAGCUUUAAUACUGAUAAAAUAUUAUCAUUUCCAAUUCCAAGUGACAAUAAUUUUUCAGUAUUUUUUAUGGACAACCAUUGACUUUCUUCGGUUUUCAAGUACAAUAUUGUUCCUAAUGUUUUGAUGACAAGCGGAACUCCAUUACACUUGUUUACAAUUUCUUUUAAAAUUUCUACAAGGUUUGGAUGAACUUUUUCUUGUCCUUCCCUAAAUGCUAUUUUUGAAAAUAAAUCCCAAGAUUGAGUUUCUUUCAAACAUUUCAAAACAAAUGGAGAAUCAAUUCCCAUGAUUGACGCAACCUUAUAAUUUCGAGUUGUCACUUCAAUUUUACUCUCCUUUCCAACAACCAUCAACAAAAUUCUCAAUUGAUCCCAUUUGUCAAAGCUUUCAUUCCAAACAUCGUCUAGUACUAGCAAGCAUCUCUUUUGACUUAAUUUUUCAUGGAGGAGAUUUUUUAGACCAUUCAACUCCAAUCUACAUCUUCCUUGCGUACUUCUUUUAAGAUUUCUUAACCAAUGACUUUACAUCAAAAUUAUUAGAAACACAAACCCAUAUUCUAGGUUCAAAAUAUUGUACUACUCUCUCAUUGUUAUAAACCAAUUGAGCAAGGGUGGUCUUACCCAACCCUCCAAUGCCAACAAUGGCAACCAUGGAAAAAUUUCUUGAUUAUCAGACGACAACAACAACUUUACAAUCUCCUCUUUGUCUUCAUCUCUUCCUACUAUUUCAAAUGUUAAUACAUGUGAGUGAGUGUCUCUCCUACUACUCUCCAUUCCCCUAUGAGUUAUGUCCCGUUGAAUAAGAUUCAGCAGAGGGAUUUCUUUUGCAAUAUCAUCUACCCGUUCUGUGAUAUCCUUGACUUUAUUGCUCAUCUUAGAACGAAGAUGAGAAGAAGUCACUGACCUUCCUUGCUACUCCUCGUUGCAGCUGAUGGGUUGCAAAGUCAUCCAACAUGUCAUCAGCAUCAUACACAAAGUCUUUGAGCCUCCUCACCCAAGCUUUUACCGCAUGGCUUUCCUCCUGCUUCUCCUCAGCAUCAAGAAAUACAGCUUUGAUGGUGUCCAGUUUCUCCUCCAGCUUUCUGAGCUCCUUUGGAACACCAUAAAUGGAUCUAAUUUCUUGAAUGGCCGAGGAACCUAACUUGGCUAAGAUGUUAGCUAUAAUAUUGAACGGGAUUUGUUCAGCCAUUUUUUUGAAGAGCUGAAACUGCAGAAGACCAAGAAAGUAAUGGUUUAGAAAAUGAGAAGUGGGGAGGAUUGUAAGAGAGAAUACUUGAAAAGUAGUGAUACAUAGCUAGUGAGAGGACAAUAGAAGUCCCAUGUUGUGGACCCAAUAUGUUAUAUACUAUAAUAUGCAUAACAUAAGAUCAAUGGUGUUACAUAUUUGAAAGAAACCAAAAUGUAGGUGGCCAAGAAAGUAUAAAAUUGAACAUGUGAAAUGAGAGCAAUAUAAGGGAGAGAAUAAACAAGUAAAAAACAACUGGAAUUCACAUGGAAGCAAUUAAAAUAAUGUGUUUUAAAUGAAAAAAUUAUUGUUAUGAAAUAAUGAGGACUUUAAUUUCAUUCUUAUUUCGAUGAGUCAAACACACCUAAAUCAACUUCUAAUGAUGAUAAAAGAUAGAAAAUUUGAGGAGAACGAGGAUAGGAGGCAAGCUAGUCAUAUAGGGGGUUGCGGAUUAGGUGGACAGGGGCGAACUCCCAUGCAUGCAACAUAAUUAUUUUAGACUAGUUUCAAUUUAAGCAAUUUAAAUAUUAAUUAAUUCAAUUUUUUUUAGUUUUAAAUUAUUUUUAAAAGUUAUUAAAUUAGUUAAUAAAUCUAAUGCAUUAUGUUUCAUUUGAUUUUUUAAAGUUUUUUAACCUAUCGACAAAACUCAAGAAAGUUGGUGAACUUAUUAAGGGAACUAUAAGUCAUUCAAUGGUUAUAGUAGUGCAUGUGCGAGCAUGGGAUAAUGCAUAUUUUGAUAAGGGUUAGUACAUGCAUAAACAAAUAAUAACACACCCAUGUGAUUAUUAGUUCCAAUUAAAGCGUCUUGGAAUUUCUCACUAGGCAUACAAGUUUGGAAUUGAGCAACUUUAAUGCUUUGGAUUUAUUAACAUGUUCAAUCAUUUUAAAAAAUAGUUUGAAACUAAAAAAUUAAGGGAAUUAAUAUCAUAAUUCCCAAAUUGGGCUAGAAUGAUUGUCAAUUCCUCUUCUCCAUAUAAUUAUAUUUAAAAAAAAAUUAUAGGCAAAUGACUCCAAAUCAAGUGUGAGUUGAUAUGUUAGAUUUUUUAACGAGUCUAAUAAUUUUUAAAAAUAAUUUGGAACUAAAAUACUAAACCAAUUAAUAUCUAUUUUCUUAUAAUAAAACUAAUCAAGAAUGAUUAUGCUAGUUUUUUCUCUCUAUAUAACUAUCAUUUUUAAUUUUUCUCUAUAUAAGAAUAAUUUUUCAAAUUUUUGAAUAACUGAUUUUUACAUCAAGUGAGAUUUAUGUUUGAAUUCUUGAAAGAGCUUAAUAAUUUUAGAAAUAGUUGCUAGAAAACUUUAAUGGACUGGUCCAUAGUAUCAUAUCAAUAUUUAAGAAAAAAUUUAAUUUAUUUAUAUAUUUAUAAAAUUAAACUAAUUUUGUUAUAAUUAAUUUUAGACAAAAUAUUAUUAAUUAUUAUAAUUAAAAUUAUAAUAAUAAUAAAACACAAACAAUGAAUUUAAAUUUGAUAUAAAUAUAAUAUUAAAAUUGAAGUAAUUGAACAAUUAGAAUUAAUACUUAAAUUGAACCAUAAUCAUAAUUUGUAAUAGUACUAGUUCACUAACAUACCUGGAAUUGUUGCUGAUGUCUGAUUUGGAAUAGAUCUGCAGCUUCGGCACAAGCCUCAAAAUUGUAAAAUUUUAAAAGAAAUAAGAAAAAUUAAGAUGCAAUUUAGUACGGGAUUUAGAAAGCUUUCAAGUGGAUUGUGUAGAGGAAAUGGAAUUGGUAUGGAGUAUUUAUAGGCAAAAUAUGGACAAAAAAAUAGCGAAAUGAUUUUGACUGUUGGAUCACAUUCAGAUCCAAAUCUAACUGUUGGAUCAUGAAAUAGCAAAUAAAAAACGAUAUCAGGGAUCAUUUCCAACCGUUGGAUGGGAGAGACGUUGGGAGGAGGGGGCCAGCGUCUCCUAGGAGUGGCAAAACGCAUUUGUUUCCUUCGAUUAAUGUGGAUUAGUGUGUGGAUGCAAUUAUUAUAAUAAUUUGCUGACUGUGGUGUUGGGAACAGGGGAGGCGUGCAUGUCAGCAUUCACAUGCAAAACCGAGCUUCCAUAACGUAAUUUUUAACGCUUUGAAAGUGUCACAAAUAGUAGAGAAAUCAUAAUAAGAAUUUGAAGGACCAAAAAAAUUAUAAAUAUAUAUAUAUAUAUAUAUAUAUAUAUAUAUAUAUAUAUAUAUAUAUAUAUAUAUAUAUAUUGUAAAGUGUGUAGGAAAAUAUAAUAAAGAAUGUGAAAAAUGUAACGUGAAAGUGUGGUUUUGAUUGGUGUGACACCAUGUCUGAGUGUACUUAGGUUAAAAAUCUACGAUAAAUAAUGACAACUUAUGUUGAAGCAAGUGAAUUUCAUAUGCAGAGCUCACGGUUGGGAAAAUCACGGCACCAAUACAAAAUAGAAAAAAUAAAUGAAACAAAGAAAAUAAAAUAUUCACAUGCUUUGAUAUCAUUUUCUACAUUCAUGUGACAAGCAAAUCAAAUUUAUUAUUAAACUUCAAAUAUACACACUUCAAACUUUUUUUCAAGUUUUUUCAAUUCUUUUUUACUUAAAGCCCAAUAUAUCGUGUGCCGAACUCUAUCCAAUCUUUACUCACUUUUUUCUUUUAUAUGCUGAACUGUAUUCACUCUUUACUCACUUUUUCCUUUUAUCUUAAAAUCCAAUAUAAAACCAUAUACCAUCAUAAAAUCUUAUGAAUUUAUACUAAACAAAUAAUUUUUUAAUCCUAAUCAAAUUUUAAAAAGGGAUUUUAUGAAACACAAAUUUUAUAAAUAUUGACUAUCCUAAAAAUAAAAUACAAAUAAUUUGAGUCAGAUACCUACACUCACAUGUUGACCUUUGGUAUAUAUUGAAGUGAUUGAAAGCAAUGCAUUUAGUGGACAAGUUGGGAAAAGCCUAGCUAUAACUUGAGUUUUAAGGCAUAUGAAGAAUUUGCGGAUACAAGGAAAAAAAAAAAGAUUUAGAUAAUCUUAAUAUAUAUAUAUAUAUAUAUAUAUAUAUAUAUAUAUAUAUAUAUAGAAAUUACUUGUUUUCAUAUUUUAUAUUAAAAAAACAUCACUCUCCCUUCUUUUUUUUGUGUGUAUAUAUGUUUGGGGAACAUUAAAGCAAAUAAAAAAAAUAAUAUAAUGAUAUGUAAAAAGAUUUUUUUUUUCUUUUCUUUUAUUAGAAUUGUCCUAGAACAAGGUACAAAUGUACAAUUAAGUAAUUAUCAAAGCUCAAAUAAAUUGAUGUUAGGAGCACUAGAAUAGAAAAUAAUGAUGAAAAAAUAAUUUAAUUUAUAUUGAUUAAUGCAUUUGAAUUUUUUUUUUUUAAAUGGAUAUAUGAAUAAAAAUUUAUUAUUAUGAAAAUCAAAUCUUAUUUUGGAUAAGAUUUUAAUUUUCCCACCUCCAUUUUUAUCUUAUUUUCUUUCAUAAUCGGAUGAACCAAAUACACUUAGAAUCAAAUUUUAAAUGUAAUAAAAGAAUGAGAAAUUGAGGGGAAUUGGAGAAGGGAGUCAAAUAACUAGGGGCAUGUGAGGAGUGUAGAAGUCACAUGGAGCCUUAUAUUAAAAUGCUAAUUUUGUAAGGGAUUAGGUGGACAAGUGGGAAACACACAUGCAUGAAAGCCGUAAUUAUGAGAUAUGCUUGGUUGGUCAAGAAUAUUAAAUGAAAAGGAAUGUAUACAUAGGGUUUAUGAAGAUAACAAAAGAAAUAACAUGGACGUAAUGUCAUAAGAUGCUUCAAAUGACCCUCUUCAUAGGGGUUAUAUAGAGGGUAGAAAGUUUCUGGAGACUCCUACAUUUAACCAUUUGUGGGAAGAGUGUGAAAGGUUUUAAAGAUGCCUAGAGAAGUUCACACAUUUCUACACUAUGGUGAAAGGCAUGAGAGGGGUCCAAAACUUUCUAGAAAAUUCUAAAAAUCUCUUAUAUAUUCUUGUACAUAGGCUUGUACAUAGAAUUAUGUAGGGCAUUCUAGAAUCUUCUUGAUUUGUAAGGAACCCUCUAAGGUUUCAGAGAGUUCCAUUGGUACCUAUAAAUAGGUGAGAGCCUCAUUUGGUCAAGGCACCAAGCAAGUGAGUUCCCAAAGCACUUGUAAAGCUUCCUUUGAGCAAUAAAAGUUUCUAUUCUUUAAGAGUUGCAAACUACGUCUUCUUAAGCUUCCAAGUCGUGAACAUCUUAGCCUAACAAGCUAAGCAUUGGGAGUAAGACUGACUUAACAAGAUCAAACAUCUUGACUUGUCUAAGUGCCAUAUGAGCUUAAGAAAAGACUAAGUUCAUGACAGUAAGGAGUUCAUGAGGAUAGAAGAAGCUAUCAUAUGUGGUUGAUAUGUAUAUACCUAAAAAAAUGACGGUAUAAAUAUAUAAAAAAAAAUUGAGAAUUGAUUGAAAAUAACAAUAAUAAGAACAAAUAAGAUGAGUUUGAUAGUGUUUCUAUUCGAAAUGUUUUCUUUAAAAGUAUUUUUAUAAGAAUCAUUUCUCAACUAUUUCUUUAAAAUUACAACAAGUGAUUUUUCAACACUAUAAAAUGAUUUUUCAAAAUUUUAAAAGUAUUUCCUAAAUUUUACUAAACACCUAGUGCUUGUUUGGAAAUUGUUUUCAAGAACAAGUUUUUGUUCUCUAAAAAAAAAACAUUUGAUAAUCAAAAACAGUUUUUUGUUUUUUAUGAUUAAAAGCAAAAAAUAAGAUGUUUUUAGAUAACAUCUUUUAGUUAUUCUAUGUUAUUUUCACUUGUUUUUGUAUGACUAUUUUGAAAAAUAAUUAUACAAACCUGUAAAAUGAUUAAAAAUAAAACACUAAAUAUAAAUUUGUUUUUAAAACAUAUUUAAAAAUAUUAAAAAUAAGUUAAAAAUAUUUUAAAUUUUCAAACAGACUUUUAUUUUACAAAACAUCAUAGAAUAGUUUUAAAAAACUAUUCUAAAAAAAAUUGUUUCUAGUUUUUAAAAAUAGUUAUCAAACAUGCCCCUAAUUUUCCUUUAAAAAUACUUUUUAGGCUAAAAAUAUUUUUUUUAAAACACUAUCAAAUGCACUUUAAGGAGACUUACAAGGUCUCAUUUUAGUUGAAUUAGUGAAAAGGAACCAAUGUAGUCUCAAUAAAAGCAACAAAUAUUAGAAAAUGGUAUUGAAGCAACCAAUGUAGUAUCAUUUCAAUAAAUAUGAUGUAGAUGGUUGAGGAAAUUAAUUGGGUCCUAAGUAAGGUUAAAAAAUCGAGAUAUACCAUUGAUAUUGGGCUAAAGCCAUUUUUCGACAUCAAAAUGGGAAAACUAAGAGGUAAGGUGCUUGGUCUUUCAGGUUUAAAAUUCAAGGUAUGCACCACGGGGUAGCACAUGCCUUUAGUUAAUAAUUGAACAUAUAAUGGGUUAAUUUUAUUCACCUUUCCUUAGUUUUUAAGUGCGUACCCCCAAGGAUAAAAAUAUCGGUAAUCACAGAUAUAUCGGUACUUCGAUUUUACGGACAUAUCGGAGAUAUAUCGGCGGAUAUUCUGGAAAAAAAUAUCGCUAGACUUAAAAUUAUUAAAAACUCAUGGAAAUGUAAGGAAAAUCUCAUAAUAAUAUAAUUAAAAGUAUAAUGGACAUUUUAAAGUUGUUUUAUUGAAAAAUUUGAUAUAUAUAUAUAUAUAUAUAUAUAUAUGAUAUAAUUUGCGAUAUUAGAUGUAAUUAUAUCAUAUCGAUCUAUAAGAAAUGUUAAUUUUGUAAUUAUUCUCAUUAUAAAGUCACAUAAACUACUUCAUUUAAUUAAAUAUCAAUAAUUUGUACACAUUAAAUUUAUUAAAUAAACAUAUUUCAUAUUCAAAAUAUACUAGUUCAUGUUAAUUAAAUUAAUUAAAUAAUUUAGCAUGUUGAUUAAAUUAAUUAAAUAAUUUAGCUAAGUUAACUAGUUUAAUUUAAUUCUAAAUGUGAAAAUAAAUCACAAAUAAUCAUAUAAAAUAAACAUAUCAAUUUAUAAUUAAAUAAUCAAAUUAACCUAAGUUAAUUCAAUAAAAAUAUAAAAAUUAAUUACAAUUGAAUGUAAAAAUAGCAUUAAAUCAUCCAUAUUGCAAACAUACUAAUUAAUUGAAAAUACAUGAAUUAAUUACAAUUGCAAGCAAAAUUAAUUACAAGUUAAAACAAAUAUACCUUAAAAUGAUUAAAUAAUUGAGCAACCUUAAUAAAAAUUGGAGUAAUGAGAGCAAAUGAAGAAUGAAAGCAAAAAUGUAUGAAAUAUAUGAAAUUUGGGCUAUUAAUAGAAGAAAUUUGGGCCAAAAUAGCCAUUGGAACAUUAAUUUACCGUUGAAAAUCAAUUUUGGUCAUUGGAUAAAAAAUUGAGAGCAAUCUGGCCGUUUGAUCGCCAUUACCAUUGGAAUCACAUCUAGGCCGUCAGAUCAACACGGGCGUGAUUUGGGCCGUCAGAUCACAUUGCAUGAAGGAGGGGAAAUAUCGUCAAAAAAUCAGCGAUAUAUCUCCGAUAUAUCACCGAUAUUUUGUCACUAGAGGCGAUUUUUUCAAAAAAAUCUCCGAUAUAUCUCCCCGAGCCGAUAUAUCACCGAUAUAUCCCAACAUUUUCCUCCUUGCAUACCCCUGAUUUACAUUAGUUUAAAAUUUCAUCAAUAUCCUCUUUAUUUUAAAUGGGAGGGUAGAUAAGUAAAAAUAAUAAAUAAAAAUAAUAGGAAAGGUAUUUGAUGAUAUUUCAAACCAAUGGUACCUAAGUGUAUUUAGUCAAAACCUUACACCUAAUUUUCAUUAGUUUGAAAUUUCACUUAUAUAGCACUAGUGAUAAGGAGAGAAAGUUUCUGAUGCUAUAUAAAUAUGAGCUCCUCUUAACCUUGUACACGCAUUUUAAAGUCGUUAGGGCUCAUUUGGGCCCCAAGUGGACAAUAUCUACAUGUUUGGUGCAGGUCGUUUCAAAUGAUAUCAAAGUCAAUCCUUAACUCCGAUGUGGGGGUUUGUUUUACCCUAUGAGGAUUGUCUGUCUAUUUAGCCCCAUAAUCUUAUGAGAUACGAUGAGAAUGUUGUGUCUGCAUGGGGGGGGGGAAGGGGGGUGUUUGUGAUAUCUCAUAUCGAAUAUGGGGGAAAGUUAUCGAGCCUAUAUGUAUAUAUAUAUAUAUAUGCUCUUCUUAACUUUAGAGAUGCAUUUUAAAGUCAUGAAAGUCAUACAAUAUCUACACAGUUGGGUGCGUGUCAUUACAAAUGGUAUUAAAGCCGAUCCUUGACCCCAAUGUGGGGGUUUGUUUAGUCUUGUGAUGAGUAUUUGUAUGUUUGUUUUGCAAUCCCGUAGGACAUAAUGAAGAUGUUGUGCUUGCAUAGGAGGAUGUUUGUGAUGUUUCACAUUAGAUAGAAGAGAAAGUUUCUAGCGCUAUAUAAGUAUGUACUCCUCUUAACUAUGUAGAUACGUCUUAAAGCCGUGAGGGCCUAAAGGGGCCUAGAGCAGAUAAUAUCAAGACGGUUGGGUGUGGAUAAUUACAAAUGAUAUUAAAGUCGAUCCCCAACCAACUCUAGUGUGGGGGUUUGUUUGCCCCCAUGAGAAGUGCCUGUCUAUUUAGUCCUGUAAUCUUGUGGGACACAACGAAAAUAUUGUGUCUGCAUGAGAGGGUCUUUGUGAUGUCCCACAUUAGAUAGAGGAAAAAGUUCCUGAAGCUAAAUAAGUAUGAGUUUCUCUUAACCUUGUAGAUGCAUUUUAAAACUGUGAGGACCAGUUUGAGCCCAGAGUGGACGAUAUUUACAUGGUUUGGUGCGAGUCAUUACAAAUAGGAAUUUAAAUAGUUUAAUGUUUGUAUACUUGUGGAAAACUUGAUGAAUGCUAGACAUGAUGAGCUCUUAAUACACGAUUUUUUAUUUUUUAUUUCCCUUAUGAGAGUAUACUAACUGGGGAUUAUAAAGCUUCUUGUUGUGAGAUAACAUUUCUUUUGUAGUUAUGGUUGUAGUAGACUUGUACAAUACUAAAGAGUAAAUCUUUUAUAGAGAAUCAGAAAGAGUCUUUGGUUUCUAAAUAUUUCAUCUUUUUGCAGACUCUAGAUUAUACUUAUAGUGGGUGGAACUGUGGAAGAUGAUUGUGUUCAAACUUCUAUAAUGGUUCAUUGUCUGGAUAAUCCAACUGAUAUAGACUGAGUGACUGGCCUUUAGAUGAUAGAGGGAAAAGAGAAGAUUUCCAUCACAUAUCAGCUAAGCGAGAUGAGCUUUUGAUGAUACUAUGCUGCGCAAAUAAUUUGACCUCAGGAUUUAUAUUGUAAUGUAAUGAUGAACCGAUAAUAAUUUACUCAAAAAAACGAAAAGUUAAAAGUUAUUGUGUAUGAUUGGAUACAUUUUUCAUAUUUCAUUUUUUUUUUUAAUAUGAAGUGUAGGUUGAUUGGGAUCUGUUUUUGAAAAAUUGUUUUUGAAAAUUGUUUUACAAUAUUUUGUAAUACAAAAAUUUAUUUGGAAAUCUAAGAUGUUUUGAACCUAUUUUCAUUAUUUAUAAAUAUGUUUUAAAAAUAAUUUUUAUAUACUUUAUUUUGUUUUUAAAAACAAAAAAUAAUUUUCUAGUUAUCAAACAUGCUUUUAUGUUUUUUUUUUUGUUUCAAAUAACAAACCGUUUAAAAAAUAGUUUACAAAUAGUCUAAUAAAGAUUCUCAUACAAAAAGAUGACGGAUACCUUGAAAGCUUUUUUUAAAAUUUGAAAAAGUAGGAUCAUGUUUAGGGUGAUAAUCAAUUCAAAAUCAUUUUUAAGAAUUGUUCCACAAAAUUGUUUUCUAAAAUUGUUUAAAUUUCUUUUUUUUUCGAGAAUUGUUUCCAAAAACAUUUAUAACAUAUAUUAGAAAAAUUCACUUCCAAAUAUUUUAGAUAUUAAAAUUUAUUUUUAAGAUCAUAACGAAAAUAUUUACUUUGUACGUUGAAGUUCUUAUAUUUUAUAUAGAAAUUUUUAUUUUUAAAUGUAAAAAUAGAAAGUAUAUUCAAAUGUAACCUAAGAGCUGGUUUAAUAUUUGAUUUGAAGAAAUCCAACAAACUCACCAUCUUGACGUGGAAAUGAUUAAGAUCAUAUUUAGUUCUUUGAAUAUAGUUUUAUUUGUUGUGAAUAUACUAAGUUAUCUUCUUACUUAUUAUAUCUCAUAUUACUUAUCACAUCUCAUAAUAAUUAUAAAAGUGAUGAGAUAUAUCAUAAAUCCUCUUUUAUAUUAUCUCUGAGAUAUAAUAAUCACAAGUUAGAGAUACAAUAUUUUCAUAUCUAAUAUGUCAUAACUUUUUUCUUCUUUCUUUUUUUAUCGAUUUUGCUCAUUUUUUUUCAAGUUUUUUAAAUUACUUAUUUUACAAAACAUAAUAUUUUGAUUAAAAAAAUAUUAAAUUUAUAGUUAAAAAAAAUUAUAUAUAAAUUUUAUUUAUAUAGUAAAAUAUACUAAUAUAUGUAUUAUUUAAUCUAUAAAAAAACAUUUUUAUAUAUUUAACUACAUAUUAUAAUAUUUUUAUUUAGAAAUUUUAAAUGCUUUAAUCAUGAGUAUCAUUAACAAAGAAAAUGAUUAUUUAUUAAAUUACAAAUUAUAGAAUGAUUUUCAAAUAAUACUAAAUGAAAGAUUUUAUGCUUUUUAAAAGAGAAAAUAUUGAGAUAUAAUAUAAUUUUUAUUUUAAACACAGUUAAAAUAUAAUAUGUUUUCUAUUCCAUUUUUUAUCCUUUUUAGAAACCUAACGAGGGAAUCAUACAUAAAACAUAUUUCAUCGGGUACUGUUACUACAAGAAUGGAGAAUUAGGAGAGGAGUUUUUGCGGCAUAAUGAAUUGAUACUUUAGGGAAGAUAUCCCAAUUCUUUAAUUUUAUCCAGAUUUUAAUAACAUUAAUUAAUCUCAACACUUUUAACAAUGAGUAAAAGAUAACUAACCUCACAUAAGAAGACCAAAUAUAAUAUAGAAAAAUCACCUAAGAGUUUCCCAAAAACUCCAUAAAUCUAAAAAAUAACAGGUUGAACGAUAGUAAAUAAAUUCAUUAAAUUAAAAAGGACUUGUGUGGUGCUUUUACUCCUAGAGUUUUAUAUUGAUCAAAACCCACAUAAUCCCACACAACCUUGGUGCAACACCCUCAUACUCUCUAAUGAAUACUUCAACAUUAUGUUGACGCUAGCCGAUUGAAUAUUCUAUUUUUCACUAAAAGAACUAUGUUGAGAUCACUAUUGAAACAAAUAUUAAGGUUGUGAGGAUGCUUCUGUUUUUGUAUGUACAAUACAAUUCAAUAACAUCACAUAUGUAUACCAAAAAUGUAGGAAAUCUUUUUGGAAAGCAGUCGUAAAUUUAAACUUAAUGUCCUUUAAAAUACAAAGAAUAGAUGAAAGAACUUAAAACAAAGACCAAUGUUUGAAUGUCCAUGGGGGACAAUGGAGCACUUGGGGAAGUGGCAUUUGGAUGCCCUUAGGAUGUUUGAAUGCUGUUUGGGAUAUUUGAAUGUCUCUUUCCAAUUUGAAUAAUAACUUCUCUAUCAUCAUCUACCUAAAAGAUCAACCAAUUCUAAAUCAGUUCAAAUUUGACUGAAAUCAACAAGACAAUGUAAAAAAAAAAAAAAAAAACUCAAUACAUCAAUAAUUAUCAUAUAUCAUAGAAUUUUUUCUAUUGAAUAUAAUAUAAAAAUAUAUGAUUUUGAUAUAUACAUAUUUGAAAUUAAUGAAAUAUUAAUGAAGAAUGAGGUAAUAAUGAAAUAUUUAAAUUAUUCUCAUUAAUGAUUAUAUUAUACUAUUUAAUUUGGAAGGGGAAUUAGCCCAACAGCUGUGCUAAAUACUUUUUGCUCUGAAACUUUUGCAUAUUUCUUUUUCUUUUCCCUAAAAGGACAUUAUAAGCACAAAAAUUGAGUUCUAAAUCUGCAGAAAUGUCAGUGACGUGAACAAAAUUUUUGGAAUGCGAUUAAGUGAGAUUCCAAACGACACCGUUUAGAGGGGGUUUCAUAACUUCCAUUUCAUCAGCAAGGUUCACAUUUCCCACCAUUUCUCCCUUUAAAAGUUUCUAACGUUCCACUCUAUACCUCCCAAGAACGUCCCUUCUCCUGCAAGAAAUUCUCUGAAUUUCCUUUCAUACUGCGAAAGCCUCACAUAAGAUGGAUGCAAGAGAUCAACAAGGAGAAGAUUCAAAAUCCACUGAUCGAGUAAAGAGAAAGAUGGAUGGAGAAGAAGAUUCAAAAACCAGUGAUCGUGGAAAGAGAGAGAUGGAUGGAGAAGACGUGCAGAAAUCUCAAGAGAACCCUUCCCAGCGCCCUUGCCCUUCUACGGUUAUCCUCAAUUCCCUACAUUCUUCAAUUUAAAUGAUUUAUUGACUAGCUUUUAACUUCUUCACUGAAAGGUGUGUUGAUUUGAUGGAGAAUGGAAUCGGGGAAGAAAGAAAUGAGGUGGUGUUGCCGUAUAGAUACGAUCACUCGUGGAGAUAGUUUGGUUCUAGUAAAGUAAAAUGAGACUAGUUUAUGAUAAACGAGAAGCCAUUGUUGAGUUGUGAUGAUUCUUUUGAAGUUGUGUGCAUCAAUUGAUGACAAUUUUAAUUUGAACAAUCUUUUUCUUUCUUUCUUUCCUUUUAAAAUUUCUGAGUAUCCAUUGGCAACCCCACUCCCCAGAUUUCCCAAUUAAGAGAUUACGUGUACCUGCUUGUGGUUUUUGUCUUAACUGAUUUCUUCUUAUAAAACUAUAUUGUUUAUUUAUGUUGGAAAUUAACUUUUGUUAAGCUUUUAAUCUCAUCGUUUUAUUGGGCAGGAGUGAUUUUAGAAUUCUUCUAUGCAGUGUUUCCUUCAUUUUCAUCAGGAUUUAUUUAUUUCUUUUGGUUAUUUCAAGUUUCUGUCAAGUAAUAUCUAUAUUCAAGUCGUCAAAAUUAGUGACAUUUUAGCAAGAAAUAUAUCAGAGAUUUAAUUCCUGAGGAUUCUAAAAUCUGUUGAUAUGACAAAGGCUUAUGCUUUGGAGCGCAAAUGGGUGUUUAAGAUUCUUAUCUUAGCAGGCUACUGCUUAGUUACGUAAUUGUUAAGGCGUAGUGGCUAGCUCUAAGUACAUGUUAAUUUAAUUUAUGUAUUUAUUUUUACUCUCAAGGCUUCAUUUUCUCAAUAGUCUUUGUUGUGCAUCGGUAGAACAGAAUCAACCAAUGGCGAGCCAAUCUCCAAAUAUCGGGUGCAGUCAAUUUUAUUUUCGUAGAAUUGAGAUUCCUGCAGACAAGGUGAAUUAAUUAUUGCACUGCCAAUGCUUCCAGGUUGGUUAUGUUGUUGGAAGGAAUCGUGCAACUAUUGGUAGAAUACAGCAAUCUUCUGGAGCUUAGAUUAGGGUUUGUGAUUUAACCACAAAAGAUUAAAUUGAUAAUUUGCCUAUAGAUUUAUCAUUUCUGCGGCUAGCCAUAUUAUAGAUAAUAAUUCUCUUACUUUUUUCAGAUUGAAUCUGGGGAAUGCACUCCCGGUACGUAUAGAAGAGUGCAUUUAGGCGGAACAAGAGAGCAGAUUCAGUCAGCAGUAAAAGAGAUUUAUGACGUGCUUCGUCAGGUGAGUCAUGUGUGGGUGAAUAAGAGGUGUAUAACAUAAAACAGACACAUUUUUAUGAAGCCUAUAAUUUAUGGGAAGGUUUUUGGCAGGAGGCAGAACUGGUGCUCUUAAUUUAUUGGAAGUUUCUUUCAUUGUCAUUAAACCAUAUAGGCAAUGCCCUUUGUCAUCUGGAAGUUCUCGUUUCUGUUGAAGUGACAUUUUUUUAAUGCUCAUUAUGAUAGUUAUAAGGCCAUAAAAAAUGAUCUUUGGGUGGAUAUAAUAGAGUUAAAAAUUAAAUGUCCGAUAAUGAUUUUAGGGAAUGUUUUUAAUCUUAAAAAAUGUUAUACUUUUUAUAUUAAGUAAGGUAAACUUAAUCCAAGACAAUAAAAAACAAAAUAGUUUGGGAUAAGCUUAGAGGGAUUAUGUCAAAAACAAAUUAAUUACUCAUAAUUAAAUAACUACCCUUUCUGUUGUAAUUCACUUCCAUUAAAGAAAAAAUAGAAAAUUUUAUAUAAAAAAUAAAAAUAAAGAUUUUAUAUCUUUAAAAAAAUUUCAAAUUUUUAAAAUUUUAAGCAAUAAAUUUUUUUUAAUACUUUAAUUGUUUUAAUCAAUAUUAAAAAUGGUUAUAUUUUUAAUAUAAAUUUCUAAAAGCUAUUAUAUUUUAUAUAAAAUUUAUUAUAUUUUUUAAAAUAGGAAAUGAGGCCAAAUGUACACUACAAAGAUAAGAUAAGGUUGUGCUAAUUAAGAAAGCAUAUGACACCACCUAAAAAGGCUAGUCAAGAUUAAUAUGUUGCAGGUCAAGUCACAGCCAUAACAUGAAAUGAUGUGCCAAAAAUAACGGGCUAUGGCAAGUCAAAGCUAUAGACAUAACUUAAAAGACCAAUAAAAGUAGAAAAUAAAUUAGUUAAGGCAACAAGAAAGCUUUAAAAGGUUAAGGAUAUUAAUUUGAGUUAUAAACAAGGUUUAAAAUAUUGGUAAAUAUGGAUAUAUCGGUAUUUGAAUUUUAUGGAUAUAUUAGAAUAUUGGUAAGUAUUUUGUACACAAAUAUUGAUUGAACAUAAAUGAUUCAAAAUUAAUAGAAAUGCUUAGAAAACUUUCAAAAAAUGAUAAAAUAAGAAAUAAUAUAUAUAUAUUAAAUUUAUUUUGUAAGUGUAUUUAAUAGAAGUACUAUUAAAGAUAAUAUUUAUCAAAUUUUUAUAAAAAAAAUAGCUUAAAUUUCUUUAAUAUAUUUUUAUUCAUUUAUUUUAAAAAAUUUUUAAAUGUUUUCAUUAAAAGUGUCCUAAGCACAAGUCUUUUUAGUAAAAAUGUUUUAUUUAAAAGUCUUUAUGAGAAAAUCACCUAUUAAGUCUCUAAUAAAUACUAUAAGUGGUUUUUUAAAUUUUUUAAAGUAUUUAUUAAAUUUUAUCAAAUAUUUGAUUUUUCUUUUUUUCAAAAAUAUUUUUUUUUAUAUUAGAAGUAUUUUAUGAAAAAAACUAUGAAAUCGACUCUUAAAGCAUUGAUAGAGGCUGACUAAAUGAACUUGAAAUCAUAGAGGGAGAAGACCAUAAAUCACAAGGGUCUAUGAUAAUAGUUUAAUGGGUGAAGUCUAUUAGCUAGCUAAAGUAAUUAUGAUUAACCUCAAGGUAAUAAUUUAAUUAGUGUUAUUUAAGUUGUCAGGUAAUGAAUGACUAAUAAUAAUUUACUCAAAAAUGGAAAAAAGUUAUAAUGUUGUUUAAAUACAUCAUUUAUUUUUUAUUUAAAAAAAUAAUAAUAGUAACUUUUAUAUAAAAUGGAGGAACCUUUUUGUAAAAAUAAUAGUGACAAAAAAAAUUAAAUACCACUAAUUUUGAAUUAAAUUUUUUGGAAAGUAAUUACUCUUAUGCUUUAAAAUUAGAAAUAAAAUGAAAAUUAUAUCCAAACAACCCCUAAAAUAGUAAGCUGAACAAAUGUCGGACAAAUUCUAGAAUGUAAUAGAAUAAGAAUCCAAAACGGCACCUCCAUCCAUCUGAGAAAGUCUCUUGAUUUUCUUGGGCUUUUUUCCACAAGAAUUUCUCUAAAUUUCCCUUCAGACUAGGAAAAUGAAUGAAGAAGAUCAAGAAGGAGAUGAAGCUACCAUGGACGUCCAUCAAACCAUUGAUCGUGGCAAGAGAAAGGUAGAGGAAGAAGCUGCACCAAAAUCCAAAGAAUAUGCAUUCUUGCUUUUUUUUUUUCUAUACUUAUUCUCAAUUCUCAACAUAUUCUUUAUUUUAAAUCAUUUCUAUACUUUUCUUCUUCACAUGUGCUUGUUUUGAUGGAAAAUGGGAACGGGCAAAGAAAUGAGUUGGUGAUGCCAAUUGCCCAGGAUCAAGCUCUGUUUUAAUUUCAAAGUAGUUUAGAACUUGAAAAAACAUCCUCGAAAAUGAUAGUUGCCCAGGAUCAAGCUUUGUUUGAACAAUUUUUUCUUUCUCCUUGCUUUAUUUCUUUCUUGAAUUCUUUAAAUUGGACUUGACAGGCCAUGCUGUUGUCUGGUCCGUGUUAUUUAAUUUUUUAUUAUUCUCUCUGUUCUAGAAACUUCAAUAAUUUGUACCACUGUUAUGCCUUUUAGAUUGCUACUUACAAGUUGGGUCAGUUACCUUUUCUACCAUCUCAAAAAUCGUCUUAAUUUUUUCAAAUUGAAUCUAGGCCAUGCUUUGUCGAUCGGUACAAGUAGAAGAGUGGAAUUACGUGGAGCGAAGAAAACAGAUUGAGCAGCUGCUUAGUACCAGGCAAAACCAUCAGGCAGGUAUCCAGCAGUACCAUGGCCAGGAUCUUCUUCAGACUUGGGGAACCAUUCUAUUCAACCAUCUGCUCCAGACCGGGUAAAUCCUUCAGCCAUUUGGCCAGGAUCUGAUCUUCCAUGAAGGCAGUGUUGGUUAACCAUUCUUUUUCCACUUUUUUUUUCCUUUUCUGUAUGGUGCUGCAGUAUACUUAUUAGAAGUAGUAUUUUUAUUUUUUUUUCUGAGGUACCCUUUUUGUUCAUCUCCAUUUUGUAGAAAAGAGAAAUAAUCGUAGCAGUUUUGGGAGAGGAACUGCUACAAAAUGGAGAUGAACAAAAAGGGUGCCUGAGAAAAAAAAAAUUCCUACUUCUAAUUAGUGUAUUGUAGCACCGUGCACAAAAAAAAAUUAAAAAAAAAUGGAAAAAGAAUGGUUAACCAGCACUGCCUUCAUGGAAGAUCAUAUCCUGGCCAAGGUGCCAGAGGCAUGGUUAAUGGGUCUGCCUAGUACUGAGCAACUAGUUGGAUGGAAUGGUUCCCUAGGUUUGAAGGGUGUGUAAAUGAAGAUCCUGGCCAAGGUGAUAGAGGGCAUGGCUGAUGGGUUUGCCUGGUAACAAGCAGUUGGUUGGACGAGAUGGUUCCCCAAGUCUAAAGGGUGUAUAAAAGAAGAUCCAGGCCAGGGUGCUGGAUGCCUGCCUGAUGGGUUCGCCUGACCCCAAAUUGAUGGUUGGGUAGAAUACUUGCCAAAUUCUCAACCAUGAUUUUUACUCAACUAAAGGAUCUAUGUAGUUGGGGCUUCUGAUAGCUACUGCUGUAAAGGUAUGACAUCCACUAAAUUUAAUACUAUAUACCACUUAUAGACAUGACCCUUUGUGAGUGGUGGCUACAGGGAUUCAUAUGGAAGCCACUUUUCCUUGCCUACUGUCAUAUGUUAUUACGUGGACACAACUUAUGCAUGGUCACACCUACUAAAGUCUUGAAUAUUUUUUUCCAAAUAUUUUAAUUAAAAUUCUCAUUUCAAUGUUAAAGAGGUGCAACUUUCUUUUUCAACAUAUAUUUUUUAUUGUAUAUAUAAAACUUUAGUUGAACCUUUUUAAAACUUUUAAUCAAAUUUUCCUUAUCUAUGAUAUUGACAUCAGUUAUUAUCGAUGUUGUAUAAUUGAUUAAAUAAACUUUUGAAAUAUGUUAUUAUGCAAUUAAUAUUAUGCAUGGAUAAAACUUCGAUAUAUAUUAGCAAAUAUGACAUGUACUAUGUUAAAUCAAAUGACAUAAUAUAAGAAAGUAAAUAUCCUCAAUGGUAAUUUGAAAAUAAACAUAGUCAAUUAAUUAGUAAAUUUUUAUCAUUAAGAUUUUCAAAGAAAAUUAUAAUAACAUAGGUUCGAUAUGUCAACCAUCAUCCUUAUCAGUAAGAUUCAUCUCUAUUUGCAAUUUUUUUUUCUUAAAUAACAUUUGGCAAAAGUGAACAAAAUGCUUGAUUAUAGGAUUGGUACUCAUCAUCUAUCAUUGUAUGUCACACCUUUAAUAAUCAAUGUUAUGAUUUCACAUAGGUUUAUAUCCGCAAACAUGAUUUGUUUUUUUCUUUAAUCAUUUUACCAAUUCUGAUGGGAAAGUGUGGUCUUCUUUUUGGGAAAACUAUAAGCACCAUAAAUUUAAGAGUCAUUUUAUACAACAAUUCAUAUCACAUCUUGGCCCAUUGCCAUAUUCUAAAGCGAUUAAAUGCACUUUUGGGAAUAACUCCAAUCCAGUUAGAUAAGACUAAAAAUUUUUCAUGAAAAAAUCAUUAUUCUCGUAUACAUGAUCUAGUUAUAGUGAGCUUUGGAAGGAAUUAUAAUAUUUUGAUGGUUAUAUAUCUCUUUUAUAUUAUUAUAUAGAAUAAAUGGCCUAUUUAAGGCUCUUUACUAGUGUUAUAUUUUUGCAUUUUGUAGAGUGAUUAAUUUUUCUACAACAUGAAAUUGAUAAUACGAAUCUUCUGGGUUUGAUAUGGUCAUUGUACAAGAAAAUAAUAUAUUGAAAAAUAAAAAUCUUUUAGGUGGUUUGAUUUUGUCAUUGUUGGCAUCAAAGUCCAAAAAUUUUAAAAUAACAAAUUUUGCAAUCUUCCAAAUGUCACCUAAUCAUGAGUGUGAAAUCAAUUAUAAAUAUUUUAGUAGGCUUUUAUUUAAACAUUGUAUGUGAAGGCAACACAAUAUAACCUAAUAAAAAAUAAUAAAGACUUAAAUAGUAGUACAAAAAUUAAAAAAAUAUAUAUUAAGUAAUAAUUGUGGGCACCGGAAGCCAAUCAAAUAGCUUCACCUGAAUGAAUCAUACCCGGUCAGAUCUCUUUAAAUAAUGCAAACUUGGACAAUAAGGUUAUAAAUGCGAUCGUUAUGCGUUUUACAUAAAGCAGACAAUCAAUGCUCAACAUAAAUAGCCAACCAUUACCGACAACCAAUGAUUAAAUGUUAGGCAUUAAAUUUAUAGUAAAUGAUAAUCAUAAGAACACAUAUAAUGUUACAAGAUCCCUCGCUAUAAAAGCACAUCAGAUGCCAAAGGAAAAUGUACGCACAUUAAUUCAUACUAAAACUCCACCAAAAAUUCCCCAAAGCUGACUUAGCCUUCGGAAGGGUUUACCCAGGCAAACAUUCGAACACUCCUUUUUUGCAGGUCCGUUUAGCAACUAAGUAGGUGAGGCUACCCAAAGAAAGAUAUUGUUGCUUGUGUACCAACAAUAACAAACCUACCUAACCUACUAGCAAUCCCCUUCCAACAUCUAUGAAGCUUCAACAACUAACUAAGAAGCUUUAGAGUUUGAUUUGCUCAUCAGAUUAGAAAACAAUGUACUAGAAAACAAAAAUAUUGUAGGUGGGUUGAUUCAAUCAUUGUUGGUUUCAUAGUUCAAAAUUUUAAAAAUUGCAAAAUUGAUAAAAGAGAAUUGAUACAAAGUAUUGUGUAUGAAAUUUUAUCAUCAUUGUUUGUUUUAUAAUUAUACAUUUUUUUUCUACAUUCAUUGUGUUUUUCUUGGAUCAAUUUUUCUUAUUUCAACCUAGUCUGGAUGUAAAAAUCCAACCCUUAAUAUUGUUAAUAUGUAGGAAAUUGAGAAAUAAUAGAAAAAAAAAAUUUUAAAACAUAUUUUCUUAGAGAAAAAAAUACAAAAUAUUUGAUGAUAUAAAACUUGAAAUAGCUAGAUUUUAUUUAUUAAUUAAAUGCUAAAGAAACAACAUAUGUGCUGCACUACAUAGUAUGUAAUACUUCAAAUUUUUAUAAUUUAAAAUAUCAGUUUAAUUGUAAAUAUACGUACUAGUAUUCUCAUCUACUAUAUGAUAUAAGUUGGGUUGGGUUUGAAUUGGAUUGAGGCAACCUAUCCAAGUUGUACCCCUACAUAGGUAUCAAACCAAUAGUUCUAUCCUUUUUGGUUUUAAUUAUAAUUAUAUUUUUCAAAAAUUUGAGUUUGGGUUGGGGCAUAAGGUUAGAAUUAAAUUCCUAAUCUAGCUUCCAAAAGGAUCCAGGCCUGGCCCAUUUAGAUGGUUGUGUGUGUGUGUGUAAAGUAGGAAAGAGCCAUUCACAUGGUGUGGCUCCCAAUGAAUUUUCAAUAUCAUAUAAAAUGUGGUAAUUAUUUCUCAAAUUGAUUAAAUAAUUAUGCAUUUGGAUACACUUUUUGAUUUUUGUUUCGAAUAUAUAUAUAUAUAUACAAAAACUCUUAGGCUAUGUUUGGUCCCUGGAAAAUGUGAGAGAAAGAAAAUUGGGAGGAAAAAUGGAAGAAAAGAAAAAGCUAAGGAAAUGAAUAUAAUUUUUUUCACUUGUUUGGUUAUCCAUAAAAAUUCAAGGGAAAAAAAAAUUAUUUUCUUUUGUUUGGUUGACCACAAAAAAAAAAAAAAAAAAAAAAAAGUAAGGAAAAAUAGAAGGAAAAUAAAAUCAACAAUUUGUCUUAAAUGGUUAUUAAUUUGUUGAAUAAUAAAAUAAAUUAAUCCAAUAAAAAACCUGUUGAAAAGCGUGAAUUUUUCAACAUAAAACAUUGCUCAUAAAAAGUCCAUGCUAUUAUUUUUUUAUUAAUAAUUAUAAGAUUUAUGUAUAAAAUUUUCCUCAUGCAAUACAAAUAAAAUAUAUGAGUAAUAACUAUUUUUUAUUUUCAAGGGAACAUUUAUAGCUAAUAAAAAAACUCUUAAAAAAAUUCAGAAGGAUUUUCGAAAUCAAAAUUUAGAAAUAAAAUAUGUUCAUAUAAUGUAAAAAUAAAAAACUACUAUAUAAAAUAUAAAAUUCAAAAUUAAAAAGGAUUUUCUAAAUCUAAAUUUAAAAAAUAAAUUUGUAAAAAUAAAAAGAUACAAUAUAAAAUAUUUUUUAUUUGUAAAAAUAAAAAAUUGUAACUUUUCAUUUUUACAUAUUUCGAUCUUACAUUCGGCCAAAACUCACUAAGAAGGUCCUUCAAAAUCUCCAAAUUUCCCCCUCUGGUAGUAACAUGAACAACUCUAUUUAUCAUCUCCCACUUAAAAACAGAAGAGAUCUCCCCAAUUUGCUCCUCCAUCUCUCCAUCUUUGCCGGUGGAGAACCUUGGGGGGACUACAAAAUCAAAAACAAGCCUAAAAACCUCACAAUUCUUUCUCCUAGCAACGGCAUAAAGUAUAUCAGUGACACCAUAUUCUCCUUCUCCAAAAACAAGAAGAGGGUCUCUUUCAAGCAAUUCCUAAACAAAACCCAAGUCUCUAGUCGAGACAGUAGUAUAUAGAAACCAUCCACCAUAGCCAGACUUAAAACACAAGCUUGUGCUUGAUUUGCAGUCUAGAACAUGCAACCUUAGGGAAACUGUCAUCAUUGGAAGCAUUAUUGAAAAGGUCUCCAUUCCUGCUCUACAUUCAAGGUAUGCGCUUGUGUGUAUAUAUUUGAUUGGUUUGUUCUUCUGAUGAUGGGUGUAAACUAUAGUUUGUUAGUUGAAGUAGUUUGGUAUAUGGGUGACAGAGGUAGUAUCCUCAAAAAAGAAGGAUAGAUUCAAGCUCUCCUGAAUGAAAUUGGAGUCUGUUGUGCACAAAAUUCGCCUUAGCCCAUUUAAUAGCAUUGAGCAACGACAAGUAGCUUUUGAGCCACCUGAGAACGACACCUAGCAACAUCAUGGAACUGUUCUUCAUCAUCCCACAUAGUUUCAAGGAGACGAACUCUGGGGAGUGAGGUGAGCUUGAUAAGGUGAUUGUUGUCAAUGCGAAGGAGCUCCCUGACCAAGUCAUAGUGGCCAUUUACAGCAGCCCAAUCAAUGGGGGAAGCAAACCACCAUUGAUCACCAGUGCUCUCCCACCAAAAAGGAAAGUAUGAAGGAGGCAUUAUGAGCACAAAACUCAAAAGCAGAGGAAGAUAAUAACAAAGAAGACCAAUUUUUAGGGAAAGAAAACUAGCAACCCUUUUGGGAUCCAAUUAAAUCCAACUGAACAAAGCUAUAACCCAACUGCUUGGUAUCAGCUAUGCCAAUUCUAGUCAUUUUUUUUUUUUUUGAGAUAAAUAUCUAGAAAAAUGAAAACCUAAUCAAUAAUGCAAUCGAGAAAAUUGCAACAACUAUGUAAUCACCUAGAAUUCACCAUACAUUGUAAAACUAAAGAAGUCUUACAUAACAAACAAAUAAAAAGAAGCCUUUAUAGCAAAUGAAUAAAAGAAGUCUUCAUAAGUCUAAAAAUAUAAUAGAUCAAUUUCUAAUAGUCAACUAUCAUCCAUGAGUUUUGAUAUCAAAACUUCACAUAUAGCCCCAAAACAAAAGUAAAACUAAAAAUAAAAAUAAUCUUCAUCUUAAAUUAGGCAUAAAAAAAAGUAGGUCCAAAUUUAACUGACAACCAAAGCUUACGCCUAUCAAUUGGACAAGCAAGAAAGGCUCAAGCUGUACUCACAUCACCGGUAAGAGCUUGAUAUGCUUUCAUAUGAGAUACAUCACUCAUGCCUCCAAUCUUAGCAAUCUCUUCAAACAAUUGUUUUUCUGUAUAAUUUUGAAGGUUGCUUCUAUCAAGAGCCACAACAACUGCAUCCAUUCCAACUCUAAUUGACCUUAAUUCUUCACUUACAAUGUCAGCAUAUUUUGCUUUUCGCUUUUUUGUUUCUUUGUUUGACUUUGGUGCAGAAACAGAUGCAUCUACAGAUGAGAAAGAUGUCUCAAUUGUUGCUUCAUUUUCAACAUAAGCAAAUGUUUCAUCUCUGAUCCCAUGUUGUGAUGAUUCUAAUAGAAUUGUGUCAUCCAAAUUUUGUUCCUAGGCCCAACGAAGUUGUCUUUCUUUUGCACCUGCAGCAAGACUUCCUGUUGCUCGAUCUUUUCCAAGAAGAAUGAACAACUUAUCAUAAUUUCUAAUAGGUUUGUAUCUGAGCUGAGAUGCUCCUGGGUGUGCCUUUUAACAUCAUAAAAAACAAAUAUUAACAAAACUCAAGUUCAAUUGUGAUAAUGUCUAUUAGAAAUUUAUAGCUCUACAUUACAUGCAAAAUUUUUAUUUCUAAUAACUUAAAAAUAAUAAUUAACUCACCUUAGUGUAAGUAGUCCAUACUUCCGUGGUAGCUUCGAUCAUUUGAGUUGAUUCAUUGAAACCAAAUCCACUACCACUUUGUAAAACUUCUUGAACAGCAUAAAAGUUUUUUUUUUAAGUUUUCAUUCUAUUUUUUAUGUGCUUAGAGUUACAACUCAAUUCAAAAUUUUCCCCAAUUUCUCGAGCAACUAUUGCAUAAGUUGUCUUGGUGAAGACUCCUCCUAUCUUUUGCCCUUUAUGCAUUUGCUCCAUUAAUCGAUCAACCAAAAAGUUGUCCAUUUCAUCAAUCCAAGUCAAGUUUCUUUUUUCACUUACACUUUUGUGUACUUCAAAGCCUUCACUAUGUUCCAUCUGAAAUAAGAAUACAUAUAUGUAUGUUUAAAAUGAAAAGUCAAGAGGAGGAGAUAUAAUAAUAAUUUCAUUGUAACUCAUUCAAAAUGUGAUUUUAACUAGAGGAUUUAUAGUUCUAAAUUCAAUCAUUGUACUUAAUAUGAAACACAAAAAACUAUACAAGAAAAGAAUCAUAAAAUAAAAGGACUCAUCAACGGUUUCUAUUGUAAUCUUUCCACAUGUCCAUGGCUAUUUUCUUCCUUAAGAUUUCUCCUUCCUUGCAUUUUUCAGCUAAACUCAAAACCAUUGAUUCAAACUCCGUCUCUUCGCUAAAAAACUCUCUAUCGACCUCUACUAUUAAUCUUUCAUCUGGAUCAACACCCAUGAGAUAGUUAUAGAGGAUACAACAUGCUAGUAUAAUAUCAGAUUGUGUGUCAACAGGGUAAUGUGGCUCUGUCCCACUAGCUAUUAUUGGAAACCUUUUCUUCAAAACACCAAAUGCUCUUUCAAUUGCAUUUCUCAAGGACGAGUGUCGAAGGUUGAAAACCUCUCAAGCAUUUUCUGGUUGAUGAACACUAUACUCUUUUAAAUGGUAACGAGUGCUUCUAUAUGGGGUAAGAAAUCCAAUUUUUAGCUGAAAACCCGCAUCAACCAAAUAAUAUUUACCUAAGAAGCAUAGACAAAGGAUCUUUGUUAUUACUAAUAGUCACUUGAGCUAAUAAAUUAUGUUAUUAUCUAAUCACCAAUAAUUACCUUGUGGAACAAUCAAUUUAUCAAAAUCUCUCACUAAUGCAUUAUCUAGGAUUCUCGAGUCUGACACAGAUCCUUCCUAACCAGGUAAAACAUAUGUGAACUUCAAGUCAAAGGAACAUACUGUUAAAACAUUUUGUGUUGGAUAGUACUUUUGCCCUCGAUACCUUUGUACAACAUCAUUUGACACUUUUACACGAAAAUGUGACCCAUCAAUUGCUCCCAUGCAAUCCUAUAAAAAAACAAAAGUAUUAGUUUAUUUUGAAAUAUAAAUAAUAUUCUAAUGAUGUUUGUUAGAUAAGUAAGUUUACCUUAAAGUAGGGCCAAAAUUUGGUAUUGUCCUUGAUUUCUUGAGGGCACUUUAAUCCAUCAGGUUGUUUUAAGAAGACAUCAUCUAAAGAUAUUAUAGCUCUAAGAACUUGAUGAAAGUGAUGACUAACAGUUUCACUAGAACGCUUGAAAUAAAAUUUCAUAGUUCUAUUCCUUAAAUUAUGACCAACAAUGUGAAGGAAUUUGGCAACUUGUUCUUCUACAUUACUAUGUGCAUUAUUUCUAAGACGACCUGUUCCCCGAAGAAUGUUUACUAGUCUUGCGAAUGCAUCUUUUCCCAUACGUAGUUGAUUAUAACAAUCUUCAUUAUCCAUUAGUGUAAGUCUUUCCAUCAAAGCAUGUUGUUCAUAAUCUCCUUCAUUAGAGAUUGAUCUCUCCAAAUAAUUUGAGCGAUGAUAAAUUGAAACAAGAAUUGCCGCAUAUGCAGCAUACAUAGCUACACAAGUUGCAGCCCAUCUUCUAAGUCUUUGCCACUCUUCAUUAUAAGUCUACAUGAUAGCAAAGUAAGAGGAAUGAUUUAGUAAAGUCAUUAGGAAAAAGUAAGAGGAACUAAGGUAUUAUGAUUUCUAGCUAUGAAAAUUUCGAGGAAAAUAUUGCAUGAAAAUUAAGGAUAAGGAAAAUAUUGCAAGUCAUGGAGGGUUUUGUAGUUACUGGGUGUUCCUGCCUGGCUUUCCUGGCCUAGCAGGUGAGAUACCAGUACCAUAUGCUUUUGCUCAGCUAUCUGGAGACAUUUUGCACACAGCGGGUCAGCUCUAGGUAUCGCCUAGGUAAAGGGUCGCUUCUGCCCACUAGUUCUUUUCUUGAUGUUAAUUGCAACAUGGCUUUGCUAUAUAAUGUUCGAACAAGGAGACAAAACUACCUAGUUCUAUCAAUCAAGACACUGAAUUAAUUGGACCUCUAUGCUUGAUGUUGAAUAGUUUUUAAAAAUUGUACUUAAUGGGCUGGGCUUAGAGUGAAUACGUGUGAGUUAGUGUGUAGCUUUGUGAGCUACAUUUAAUCCAUCAAGAAUAUGGACCCUAUGUUGUAUCACAAACAAACAAAAUUGAAAUAAAUGCUUGGAGAAAAUGCAUGAAAGAAAAAUAACUCAGAGUUAAAACUAAUUAUUCUUCAGUAAAGGAUUGAGUAAAAGACUUCAGAUUAAUCCAGCAAUUACAAUGGGGAAAAAGAUAGUUUGGGGCGUGGGCCUCAUCGGAAGUUCUUUGCAUAAGAUAAAAAAAAAGGAGAGGGCAGACAUGCUAUAUAUUAAUUGGCAUUAAACCCUAGCUACUAACAUAAAGUAUGAGCCACGACCUAUGAAGAUAAGCAGGAGUAAAUGACACUAAAGAUGACAAGCUUGGAAUUUUAAAUAAUUUAGACAAACAUGAAUUCAGUAGGAAUCCAGAUCUCUCCUAGCAUACUGCCAAAUCUGGGACUGGAGAGUCCAUGAGGAUUCCGGACUUGGUUAUUUAAGAUUGAUUUCAUAGGAUGCAAACAAACACUAAUAUAGUUUUCGGGUUAUUUGCAUUAUUAGUAAAGCAUGCUAAAUGCUUCAUAGUUUAUGCUUUUUGCGGUUUUUAAGGAAGCCUGCAUCAUUGUAUAUAACAAGAUCACCUAAACCAGUGGCCAACCAAAAGAACAAAACUGGCCACAGUAUUUAAAAUCAUGUCUCAACCAUGUCUCAUUAGGAGUUAACAUGGAGGACAAACCAGGUUUAAAAUCUUGCACUAGAAAAAAACUUGGGUGCAAUUAAAGAAAUUCUAGAAUCACCCUAGAAUGAAAUGGGCAGAGCAGAGCAGGUUUCCCAGUUUCAUAUGUUCUAUUGUCACCUCUAUUUUAGACAAAGUCCCCAUAUCAAAGGACAAAGAAUCCAAAACCCUUAAAUUGUUAGCCUAUUGUUGCCAGUCUAUUUUCUCACUUCUCAAAGCCAAGAAAGAUACACAAUCAUCAAAUAUCUAAAAAAAAUUAUCCAUCACCAUAAAGUGGGCGGCAUUAAACCAAACUUAUCCAACUAAAAAAGACAAUUAAACUUCUCUUAUAAUAGAACUGAAAGACUCUUGCAACUCUGUGCCCAAUACUCCCUCAGAAGCUAUAUAAUAUUGCUGAAAAUUUUCCAUAGUGCUAAUAUAUAUAAUACACGCACUCCUCCACAACCCAUAGAAAAACUAAGAGCGCAUUUGAGCCUGAAUCAAUAAUAAGAAUCCAUGAAACUAUCUCCCUAGCACCCAUGAACUUCUUCAAUUCAAUAUAUAGCCAUCACUAUUACAAUCCAAAUCUGUCCUUAUUUUCUUUCUGGUUUCUUUUUAGUUGUCAACUUGUCAUGCCCCAAGCAGAACACUUCCCUGAGCUCUAGUAAAUUUUCCCAUCACCAGCAGUAUCAAUGAGCUUAAACUCUUGCUUGAUCAGCCAGUUAGACUUCCAUGGCAGCAAACGAUGAGCAAUUACAACUCCAAAUUAAACUAGUAAGUAUUAUCCUGGGCUCUCUUCUCUUUUCCAUCCUUUUAACAUCUCUAGAGGCUUUGAAAGAUGAAGACAGUUUCCACCCACUUGUCUGAACAGGCUUAGGUGAAGAAACACUAGGAGAGUUGGGAUGGCAGAGUGAAUAAAAAAGGAAACAUAACCCAAGAUGAUUAGGAGCUUCCAAUAAGAAUAGUGUAUGUGGAGUUGCCGUUGCUGCUGAUUCCCAAUUAACAUUCAAAGUUGCAAUUAACAAUAAAGAGAAUCAAAACCCUAAUAACAUUCAAAAUCCCCAUUCUGAAACCUGAAAUCAUUGGUCCAUAAAGCCCUAAGAAAUAACUCAAAUCGAAUUCAAACCCUCAUUUGAAGGGGGAAAAAAAUUAAGAAGCAAAUAUCAAUCCAAACAAACUCAAAAUUCCAAUUGGAAACCUUAAACCCUAAUUUCUAGUCAGUUGUAUGGAAAAGGCUGAAUGAGUGAAAGAGAUCAUAAAAUUAAACCAACAUCAAACAUAGAGAAACUCGCAAGGAAUGGAGCGAUCAGAGAGACAAAAGAGUUUGGAGACUGAGAUUAAGCAGAAUGCGAUUUGAUUCUUAAUCCAGUUAAUUGACGUUGGGAGGUAGUUUGACUAAUAAUGGGAUUCAAUUCAUAAGGUGUAAAGUUAAGAGAAAAGAGUGCAACUCAUACCUAACUUGAAGACAUGGAUCCGAAUACAUUCAUUGGAUUUGAAGAAUUUAUUUCAUCCAUGGAAACUUGAUUUGAAGAACACACUUCAUCCAUGGGAACUCGAGUGCCUGAAAAUAGUAGGUUUUCAGAGGCACUAGAAAGAUGGUCGGAGUGAUAGUGGUGGCCGUUGAAAGGGUCGAUGACGGUGAGAAGUCAUAGCCACCAAUGAAGAGGAAGUUAGAGAUGAAGCAUCGGUGAACAAGAGCCCGACUAAAUUUUCCUCCCCUUUUCCCUGCUUUUUUUCUUUUAUAUUUUCCUCAUUAUUUUUUAAAGAAAAUAGUAAGGAAAAUAUUACAAUAUUUUUUUUAAUAUUUUCCUUCAUAUUUUUUAUCCAUCAUAUUUUCCAUGUCAUCCAAACUAAAGAAAAUCAUUUUCCUUUGCAUUUUUUUUCCUUUCCUUAGCAUUUUCCGAGAACCAAACAUAAUCUUAGAAACAUAUAUUAAAAAAAAAAUUAUUGUUUUAAAAGUUGUUUAAAAAUUUUUUACUACAUCAUAUUUUAAAAUUUAUAAAAGUGAUUUUCAAAGAUAUAAUGUAUAUAUAUAUAUAUAUAUGUGUGUGUGUUUUGUAUAAAAUAUUCUACUUUUUAUAAAAAUAAAAUAAAAUAAAUUAUUUUAAAAUAAAAAACAGAAAGUAUAUCUAAAUUGACAUUAAAUUAUAAAUUUUUAUAACAAAUAAUUAUGCGUAAUGUGAACAAAUUGGUUCGUUUUCUUCUUUGUUUUCAUCUCCCUAUGCACCAAAUUUAGUUGAUUGACCAUUUAAUCUUGAAACUUUGUGAUUAAAAUAUAAAAAUAAAUUAAGAAAGAAGAAAAAAAAAUACAGAACCCUAUGUUUUCUCAACAAGUGUAAAGCAUUUAAAUAUUUGAAAACUGCAAUUUUAUCAUCACUCUCAACUCUCUUCUUCUAUUCAAUAGUUUACAAAAAUAUGCACCUAUAAUAUUUCACCAAAAAAAGAAAAAAAAAAAAAAAAAACCUCUCUAAUAUUCCACAUCCUCUAUAGAAAGUUUGGUGUCCUCUGCAAUAAUCUUCUGAAGGACGACUGCAAGAUACAAUAUCUCAGUUGAAUUCAGCAGUAACUUUCUGAAUCUUGCCCAGCAAAUCACAAGUGAAAUGAUAUUGUUAACAUACCUGAAGAUGAUUUCCAUCAACCUUUGUCCCCAGCCCCAGGAGACUUUUUGUCCGUAGGAGUUGGUAAAACAUGUUAUUGCUCCAAUGUAGUGCACUCUUUGUGUUGAAUAUAAUGUAUGUAUAGUAUACUAUCUUUCCUUGUUAAUAUAGGUCACAUGUAUGGUAGUUAGGACUCCUAGCCUUGUAUAUAUAUAUCUCUCAAUUGUAAGUAGACAUUACAUGAAUGUGAAUAAGGUUUUUCUCCUCUCUCUCUCUCUCUCUCUCAACAUGGUAUCAGAGCCAAAGGAGAAAACCUAAUUUUUUUUCGGUUUAGCCGUGUACUCAAUUCCGGCGAACCGUCCAGUGACCGUGUUUCACUCCGGUCCCCUCAUUCUCUUCCCGAACCACCCCGGACAACCUCAUCGCCGUCGGAUCUCCACCACGCCGGCAACCUUUUCCGGCGACCUCUUUUCCGGGCAACGACCACAUAUUCCGAAACGCCGGAGGCUGAUCUACACUCCAGUGGAAACCCCACCGGCAACCGGAAUCUCACGCGCCCCCACGCGCCGCUCUUCUCCUCUGGACUGUCACCCACGUGCCUGCGCGUGACGGCGCGUGGCUCACUUUCCGGCCACUUCCGACACCUCUCCAGGCUCGUCCGGCGCCGUCUUGGCCUUCUAGCCCUCCGGCAGUCCUCCCCGAGCCCUGCAUCUCCAUUUUUUCCCUGUUUUUGGCUUUCUUGCCAUUCCGGCCACCUCCGACAGGGCUCCCCCUCCAUCUCCGAGGCUUGGGUGCUGCUUCUCUUCCUCUCCAGGCACGACACGACCUUUUUUCUCCAUUGAUUGCACCUCUCACAGCCGUGGUUUCACUGUUUUUCUCUCUCCGCCGAAAUCUGAACCCAUUUUAAGGCUCUCUUCGAUCCAAAUACGUGAAUAUGACCACCAAAAAUCAGAUCUUUACCUCUAUUCUCUCUGGAUCUCCUCUUAUUACCUCAGAGAAAUUGGUUGGCAGUGAGAAUUAUCUCUCCUGGUCUGCCUCUGUUGAACUUUGGUUUAUGGGUCAAGGAUAUGAGGAUCACUUGGUUACCCAGGAGGCAGAUAUCCCUGAGGUUGACCGCGUACAGUGGAGGAAGAUAAAUGCACAGUUAUGUAGUGUAUUAUGGCAAUCGGUUGAUCCCCGGAUUCUUCUUCAUCUUCAGUCCUAUAAAACUUGUUUUAAAUUUUGGACUCAGGCCAAAGGAUUAUACACGAAUGAUAUCCAGCGUCUUUAUAAGGUGGCUUCUGCUAUUGUCCAUCUCAGCCAACAGGACUUGGAUCUAUCUACUUAUAUUGGUCAGAUUGCCUCUCUUAAGGAGCAGUUCUUGACUGUGAUGCCUCUUACUCCUGAUGUUGGGGCUCAACAAACACAGCUUGACAAGUUCUUCAUGGUCCUUACUCUUAUUGGCCUCCGUCCGGAUCUUGAGCCUAUUCGUGAUCAGAUUCUUGGUAGUUCAUCAGUUCCGUCCUUGGAUGAUGUGUUUGCUCGCCUCCUCCGUAUCUCGUCCACUCAGACUGUGCCAUCUGAUAGCGCUUCAGAUUCUUCUGUGUUAGUUUCUCAAACUACCUCUCGAGGAGGACGCAGUGGUACCCAAGGUAGAGGCCAACGUCCUCAUUGCACCUAUUGCAAUAAACUUGGCCACACUCGCGAUCGUUGCUAUCAGUUACAUGGAAGACCUCCUCGCACUGCCCAUAUGGCCCAGUCCUCUGAUUCUCCGCUGCCUCAGCCUCCGAGCUCCUCCGCAUCUCAGACAUCUCAGGCUUCUAUUGCCUCUGUUGCCCAGCCUGGUAAUGCCUCUGCCUGCCUUACCCACACAUCUUCUCUUGGACCCUGGAUUCUAGAUUCUGGAGCAUCUGAUCACCUAUCUGGUAAUAAGGAUCUUUUCUCCUCUAUUACUACUACCUCUGAUUUACCUACUGUUACCUUAGCCAAUGGUUCUCAAACUGUGGCUAAAGGUAUUGGUUUGGCCCUUCCUCUGCCUUCUCUACCUCUCACUUCUGUCCUUUAUACUCCUAAAUGUCCUUUUAAUCUUAUUUCUAUCAGCAAAAUCACUCGUACUCUUAAUUGCUCUAUUACCUUUUCUGAUAAAUUUGUGACCUUGCAGGACCGGAGUACGGGGAAGACGAUUGGCAUAGGACGUGAGUCUCAAGGCCUCUAUCACCUCACCUCAGAUUCAUCUCCUGCAGUUUGCAUUUCCACUGAUGCUCCUCUCUUCAUUCACAAUCGUCUGGGCCACCCUAGUCUCUCCAAGUUCUAGAAGAUGGUUCCUCGUUUUUCCACUUUGUCGUCGCUUCCGUGUGAGUCAUGUCAGCUUGGGAAACAUACUCGUGUCUCGUUCCCAAAGCGUUUGAAUAAUCGGGCAAAGUCUCCUUUUGAGCUUGUCCACAUUGAUGUUUGGGGUCCUUGUCGGACUGCGUCUACUUUAGGAUUUCAAUAUUUUGUCACUUUCAUUGAUGACUAUUCUCGAUGUACUUGGUUAUUUUUAAUGAAAAAUCGAGCUGAGUUAUUCUCUAUUUUCCAGAAAUUUUAUACUGAAAUCCAAACCCAGUUCAAUAUUUCUAUUCGUGUGUUACGCAGUGACAAUGCCAGGGAAUAUUUUUCAGCCCAAUUUACUUCGUUUAUGUCUCAUCAUGGGAUUCUUCAUCAGUCUUCUUGUGCUCAUACUCCUCAACAAAAUGGGGUAGCUGAACGCAAGAAUCGACAUCUUGUUGAGACAGCUCGUACUCUCCUCCUCCAUAGUCACGUUCCUUUUCGCUUUUGGGGGGACGCUGUUCUUACCGCUUGUUAUUUGAUUAAUCGUAUGCCCUCCUCUGUCUUACACAAUCAGAUUCCUCACUCCCUUCUUUUCCCUGACCAACCACUUUAUUUCCUUCCUCCUCGUGUCUUUGGUUGUACUUGCUUUGUUCAUAUUCUCACUCCUGGACAGGACAAGCUUUCCGCCAAAGCCAUGAAGUGCCUCUUCUUGGGAUAUUCUAGACUUCAGAAGGGUUAUCGUUGUUAUUCCCUUGAGACUCAUCGGUACUUUAUCUCCGCUGAUGUCACCUUCUUUGAGGACUCACCAUUCUUUUCCACCACUUCUGAGUCUCUUCCUGUUUCUGAAGUCUUGCUCAUUCCCAUUGUCUCCCCACCUGAUGCUAUACCCCCUCGACCACUUCAGGUUUAUCAUCGUCGCCCUCGUGUCGUUGCUCCUCUCCCUUUUCCUGAGGCGCCUGCUGACUCACUUCCUAUCCCUUCGGCUUCACCUGCCCCGACUCUGCCUUCUCCUAAUGACUUACCCAUUGCUAUUCGGAAAGGUACUCGCUCUACUCGUAAUCCUCAUCCUAUUUACAAUUUUUUGAGUUAUCAUCGAUUAUCUUCACCCUAUUCUGCUUUUGUUUCUGCUAUAUCCUCUGUUUCUCUUCCAAAGAGCACCCAUAAAGCUCUUUCCCAUCCAGGCUGGCGACAGGCAAUGGUAGAUGAAAUGGUUGCUCUGCACUCUAAUGGCACUUGGGAUCUUGUUGUUUUACCCUCUGGUAAAUCUACAGUUGGUUGUCGUUGGGUCUAUGCAGUUAAGGUUGGUCCUGAUGGUCAAGUUGAUCGCCUUAAGGCCCGCUUAGUUGCUAAAGGCUAUACUCAAGUUUAUGGUUCUAAUUAUGGUGACACAUUCUCCCCUGUUGCCAAGAUUGCUUCUGUCCGCUUGCUUCUCUCCAUGGCUGCUAUGUGUUCUUGGCCUCUUUAUCAGUUGGAUAUUAAAAAUGUCUUCCUUCAUGGUGAUCUUGCCGAGGAAGUUUAUAUGGAGCAACCUCCUGGUUUUGUUGCUCAGGGGGAGUCUGGUUUAGUGUGCAGGUUACGCCGUUCUCUAUAUGGCUUGAAACAAUCUCCUCGAGCAUGGUUUAGCCGUUUUAGUUCUGUUGUUCAAGAGUUUGGCAUGCUUCGCAGUACAGCAGACCAUUUAGUUUUUUAUCAUCAUAACUCCUUGGGGCAGUGUAUUUAUCUGGUUGUUUAUGUGGACGACAUCGUCAUUACAGGCAGUGAUCAGGAUGGUAUUCAGAAACUAAAGCAACAUCUUUUUACCCACUUUCAGACCAAAGACUUGGGGAAACUCAAGUAUUUCUUAGGAAUUGAGAUAGCUCAAUCCAGUUCUGGUGUGGUCCUUUCCCAAAGGAGGUAUGCUUUAGACAUCCUGGAAGAAACCGGUAUGUUAGACUGUAAACCGGUAGACACACCUAUGGAUCCGAAUGUCAAACUUGUACCAGGAUAGGGGGAGCCUUUAGGAGACCCCGGGAGAUAUCGACGGCUCGUAGGUAAAUUGAACUAUCUCACCAUUACUCGUCUAGACAUUUCUUUUCCUGUGAGUGUUGUCAGUCAAUUCCUACAGUCACCAUGUGAUAGCCAUUGGGAUGCCGUAAUCCGUAUUCUUCGAUAUAUCAAAAGUACACCAGGCCAAGGUGUAUUGUACGAGAACAGAGGUCAUACUCAAGUUGUUGGUUACACAGAUGCAGAUUGGGUUGGCUCACCCACAGAUAGACGUUCCACUUCAGGGUACUGUGUUUUUAUUGGAGGUAAUCUAAUAUCUUGGAAGAGUAAGAAACAAGAUGUAGUGGCCAGAUCUAGCACUGAAGCCGAGUAUCGAGCUAUGGCCUUGGCAACAUGUGAACUCAUAUGGUUGAGACAUCUUCUUCAGGAGUUGAGAUUUGGAAAGGAUGAACAGAUGAAACUCAUCUGUGAUAACCAGGCCGCAUUACAUAUUGCAUCCAAUCCAGUCUUUCAUGAAAGGACCAAGCAUAUUGAAGUUGACUGUCAUUUCAUUAGAGAGAAGAUCGCAUCAGGAUGUAUUGCUACAAGUUUUGUCAAUUCAAAUGAUCAACUAGCAGACAUCUUCACUAAAUCUCUCAGAGGUCCUAGGAUUAAAUAUAUUUGUAACAAGCUUGGUGCAUAUGACGUAUAUGCUCCAGCUUGAGGGGGAGUGUUGAAUAUAAUGUAUGUAUAGUAUACUAUCUUUCCUUGUUAAUAUAGGUCACAUGUAUGGUAGUUAGGACUCCUAGCCUUGUAUAUAUAUAUCUCUAAAUUGUAAGUAGACAUUACAUGAAUGUGAAUAAGGUUUUUCUCCUCUCUCUCUCUCUCUCUCUCAACACUUUGUUACCCGUAAAGCUUUUUAAUGAGGACAUUGUGCAGUUCUCUUUUGUAAAGUUUGCCUAUAAAUAAGUCAAUGAAAGAAAGAGAGCUAUCAGAAAUUGUGGAAACACCUUCAUAAUGGAAGAACAAUGACAGAAUAAGCAGCAAGGCAUUUCAAAAAUUCCCAUGCUGAAAUUUGAGACAACAAGAAUUGAAAAACAAAUGCCAUUAUAUAGCAGAAAAGACAUUCUUCAGAAAGUUAAAAGAUUACUAGAUGAUGAGAUUUUUUCAACAUCUGCCACAGGCCCAACUCCCUGGAAACAUUGAAACGAGCAAUUGGACCAACUGAAAUUUAUCAAAUAUAAAAUAUUAACCACAUCUCUAAAUCUCUAAUGGAAACAGAAAACCUGAAACUAAAGGUAUAAUGCUAAGGCAAGUUGCUCCAGCCAAUACCGCACUUGACAGUCUAGCAAACACAAAAUUCCGUAGCUCCUAGUCAGCAGCAAUUCUAUUCACUGGUCUGCCAAAAGUAGCUCAAGAUUUCGAACUUCUUUCAGAUGAUGGUGCCUUGUCAGGCUCUAAACCAUCCUAAUUGACAACAAUAAAGAACAGAAACUAAAAAAAUGAGUGAUCUAAUUAUUUGCACCGGAAUUCAAGUAUAUACUCAUUGUGGGUUAUACUGAGAUCCAAAUAUUAUAUAAUUCUAACUUCUCAUCAGGGAGAACCUCAACCACUUCAUGAAAGUUUCAAGAAAGUGACAAUCAAAACAUUCGGUAUAUGGUUUAUGAUACCACCAAAAACAAGCACCCCCAAAACGUGUGCCCCAAAACAGGUACCUGCAUAAAGUCCACCUCAUGCGAUGUGUACGACAAAGUCUAACCUUCGUUCAAAAGAUAUCACCAACCUUUGACCUUAUCCCGAAAAAGGCUGCAGCUCCAUGUGAAAACUACGUCAUCAACUGAAAUCUUUAUGCAUACUAUAAAAACAAAAGCGAAGAGGAAAAGAAAACUCAAGCUUUCUCUAGUCUUCAGUUUACUAAGUCGUAAAUUACAGAUGUCCCCUGAUGCCUAGUCCCAAUGUGUUGGAAUGAUGAAAAAUUCCAGGUUCUAUCACAAAUUUAGCAGAAUUUUUUACUCUACCAAAAAGUUUCAGUUACAAUUUGAAAUUCUCUAAUGAACAUUCAUUCACAAAAGUCUCCUAUUGUAUUCUUUCAAAAUACAUCAAAUAAAAUGGUAUAGAACCAUGAAACCCUCAUACUAUGUCUAGAAUAAGCAUCAUAACUGAACUUGCAUACAACAGGAUAGUUUAACAACUUGCAUCUAUAACUAAACAUCUUCUAUUGUAUUUUUUUUCUGAUUAAUCAUAAUGGCUAGUAUCAGAAAAAAAGAAAAACCAAUUAAACAAAAAAAAAAGUGCUAGCUAAACGAAUUUAUAUAGCUUGCCAUUGCAAAGGUCUAUCAUGGAUAAAAUUACAAGCUGCCCCAUGAACCACAAAAGACAAGUACCCAUUUGACAGAUUUUACAAUUGACUUGAGACACAAUUUGACAAUGAAUAUUCAUUUUCUAGAGAAGUUCCCACCAAUUUUGAGGCUAUCUUCCACACAACUUCUGAAUUUCUUUUGUUUAGAAAUCAAUUGUUUGGGCAAUAGGACUGACAUGUUUUCAGUAGAAUGUGAGGAAUAUGCACAAAUAUAUUACAUGAAGGUGGGUUGAACUUACUUUCCACCAACGUAAGGAAUGCCCUUCCCUGAAUUGCCAGGAAUCUCUCCUUGAAACCCAGGCAUUAUUUCUGUCAUUUCCUGGACAAUUUUAGGAUCCUCACUAUAGCUCUCUAGCAUCAGCCCCAUCUUGGAUCUCUGCAUACAUGAUAUAUAUACAAGGGUCCAAGAUUAGAGUCAACACGGUGCAAAGGCAUAUGUACUGCUAGUAUCUCUAACUUCAAGGGCAGUUGCAGGAUGACAUAAUCAACCAAGUAAUGGAUCAAACAUCCUCUGCAAUAAAAUACUUUAACCUAAAGUGGAGUAUUUUCAGAAUGGGAAGAGUGAUACUCCAAAUUCCCUUUUAAUGAAAUAGAAGACGAAGAUGAAGAAAAGUCAUUACCAUUAUCCUCGGUGUAUUUCAGAGUAUUUAAAUUCCCAUGCUCAAGAAAAUUUAGAAAAGUGGGGAAACCAAAUUUUCUUAUGAUUCAGUACUAUAUGUGUUCCUCACAAAAGUGUUGGUAUUCUACUGUAUAUGAGAACAAACAAAAAAAGUUCAGGAAAAAAAUAAUUAUAUAAAGGGAAGCAAUAAAUUAAUAAUCCAAAAACUAAAAGCACGGAGAGAGGAAGGAAUUAUAGACCUCAAUAAUGAAGAGAUUAUAGACAACAAGCAAAAAUGAAAGAAAGCAUAUAGGUUUAGGAGAAUGAUGAAAUUAAAACAAAAAAAAAAAAAAAAAAGUUAAAGUGAGCUCUCUUUUCACAUGCGUCAACCAUCAAUAAGCCACCAUACACAUUUAUCUCUUGAAUAUUGAACCGAUUUGAGUAAGUUCUCAACAUUAUAUUCAACUGAAUUGAGUAAGUUCUCAACAUUAUCUAAACUUUGGAGAGAAAACAUGAAGCAACUUAUGAUUUAUUGGGUGUAUAAUUUUCCAUUAAUGAUAACAAGCAUGAAAUAAAUUUCAAAUCUAACCUAAUUAUUCAACAAACAUGCACUGUGAACUUAAAUAACAUUAUUAAUUUUUCCAAAAGUAAUUGGUUGAUAUAAUUAUAAGUGUAUUUAUCCAAAAAUACUAAAUUAACUCACAAUUCAAAACCAUGCAGAAGGUUUGCCUAACAUGGAAUCUUUUUAAGAUUUCAUAUCUUCAGUAAACUACUUUUGCAUCAGAAAAAUAGAAAUAAAGGGCAACACUUUUAGAAGACUGACAAUAGAAUGAAAUAAAUGGAGUCAUAAAAAAUGGAGAGAUUGCACUCCUGGAAUCUAUUAUAGAUGACAUGCUUGAAUUAAAGAGCACAGAAAUUCUUUUGACAUCUUUUAAUAAGUAUAACAUUCUCAUUUUCAUGUAUAAUUUAUCAAGUAUGGUUAUAAUGUCACUUGCUCUGGCAAUGGUACUCCCUUUCAAAGUACUUUUUCAAACUAUUGAGUCUAGCUAUUUCAGAUAUGAGAAGAAUAGUGCUACCUUCAAUAAAGUUGAAGAUGACUCUAUCACUGUCACUCCAAACCAUUUAGGUUUCCAAGCUUGAGUAGCUUAAAAUAUUGCAUCCAAUGAUAGAGAUGUCCAAGCCCCACCAUUAUCCCUUUUUACAUUGAAUUUAUACCAAUUACAUCUGCAAUAAAAUAGUUAACCCGAGAAACUUCCAAACACAAAAUAGAAAGUUCAUUUUAGCAAAACAGAAUUAGCAAUUGAUAUCUUUAAAGAUACAUUUUUCAAACUUUACUAAUUACAAGCAUGCUUUCAGGCCACAAAGGUUCAACUAAAUUAUAAUAUCAAUGGAACAUUGUAUUUUCUCUAUGCUAAGUCUAUCAAUGGUUGACAUAAUAAUCAAGUGUUCUUGUCUAUGUUGUGCUUCGGUUCGAGUGAUAUUUAGAAAAUAGUAUAAAUCAUAGGAAUAUCCUACUGUUUUGUCUAUGCUAAUACAUACACAGGGCAUAGAGAAGACAAGGAGUGUAGAAAAUCAAUGAUGAUGCAGUCAUGGACAGUGGGAGAAGGAUUACCUGAAUUGAAAAGAAAGCAAAAUUCCUUUCUGCAUGAGUCAUCUAAGAGUAUAAAUUUUUGGGUCAUGUGAAAUUUUAGGCAAAUUCAAGACUUGUCACCUUUGGGCUUUAGGCCAAUGAAUAAUCUCAAGUUUCGAAUCUGCAAGAAAAUAGUAACUAAAUCAACCCUAGAGUUUUCCAAAACUCUUAGAAUGCAAAACUUUAAGUAACAUGAUUAGCUUGGUCCUCAAUUACCAAUUAAGGACUUGUCUAAUUGUACAUUAAUUGGAAGAUGAAAAAUUUUCAAACUCAGUGAUCUAAGAUUUUUCCAAAUAGAUUGGGAAAAAAUGAUAAAAAUUGAAACUAUUAAAAACAAGAAGAAACAUUGGAUUGCAAACCUGAAAUAUAUUGUAGAUGACAUGCUUGAAUUAAAGAGUAGAAAUCCUUUAUGAAUCAGCCAUCCAUGUCAAUUUUGAGAACAUGUUUCGUUUUGUGUCUCAAACUAUUAAGUUUGAGUACUUUCAGAAAUGAGAAAAAUGAUGCCACAAAUUGUCUUUCAAUGAAAGUAAAAAUGAUCUCAAUACCAUUAAUGCUUUACUCCAUAGCAUUUUUAAUUCAAAAGGUCAAGAAACCUGAAAUAAAGGGUGACCAGAUUGUCAUAUGAUUCAGUAAGAUGCACUCCUGCAAAUUGUUGGUGUUCUACUACAUAUAAUAAUUAGAAAAAUCAAAACUCCAAAAAGAAUAUGAAAGUCUUUAACAAAUUGAAUGGGAAGUAUUAAAUUAACAAUCAAAAGUUUUAACAUGUAAAAAGCAGAUGGAAGGCCAACAACGUAUAUUUCCCCCACCUCCCCCCCCCUUUAUACAUGUUGGUGCUUAUGAGAAUUAGGAAAACAAAAUUUUAAACAAAGUAUUUAAACUCUUAGAAGAUUGAUUGUAAGAUUAUAAAAAAUGAAGCCUUCAAAAACAGGAGAAAUGUUUGAUUACAAACCUAAAACAUAUUGUAGAUGACAUGCUUGAAUUGAAGAGAGCAAGAUCAAUUCAAGAAUCAACCAUCAUUUCUAGUCGGCAUCAAUUGUGGGAACUUGAGAAAUUUCAGGAGGUCAGUCUUUGAGUUUUCCUUUCGGCAUGUUUCUAAGCAUAGACAGUAGGCUCACAACGCAUCUUUUCUGGAAGUGCUUUCAUAUCAGGGCAGUCAACAACUGAAGGCCAAACCAUAGAGAUAGCUUUUGAGGCUUCAAGGGUAGUGAUUAGGAAUCACUUGAGACACACACAUUAGGACACAACAGCUUUGAAUUUUCAAUAGCUUGAGAAAAGUGAGGUGUGGAAUCGCUGCAAAAGACAAUCCUAACUUUCCAGUUACUGAAGGGAAGUGGGAUGUUUCAGCCACAAUGUUAUCUGUUUUUGCUUACAACACUAUCAGGUUUUACUUUGAUGCGACAACAAUUAUAUCUGCAAUAAAAUAGUUCACAUGACAGUUACACGAUCCAUUUAAUAAACAAGAUUACAAAGGUGCACAGAAUUCUUAAUAGAUAGAUUGAAAAAUAAAAGAUGAAGUAGCCAUCAAUAACAGGAAGAAGGGUACCUGAAAUAUAUGGUUGUCAUCAUCCUCAUUCUCUAAUAGAUAAAGUUCUUCUCAAUGGUUGUGGCAUGCUGAAUACGUUGAGACAGAGACAUUGUUCUCUACACAAACAGUUUACAGUCCUCGAGAGAAGGGAGGUGUCACAGUUCCACCUCUGGCAGAGAUAUUUUGAGAUUUCCAUGAAGAGGAGGCCAAUGUGAACUCCAAUCAGCUUUAGUUUCUCACUUAACUUCUUAAUUCUGCUACAUAUGAGUAUCAAUAGAUCAUAACUAAAAACAUAGUACAGAGUUUUUAAUAAAUUGAUUGAAAAAUGAUAAAUGACUAAAGGAUCAAAGCUUAAAAAAAGAGAAAUUGCAAACCCGGAUAAUGAAUAAAUAUUAUGGAUGAGACACAAACUAAAGAGAUCAUAGAUUGGAGAGUAUGGUGGAAGUGAGUUAACUCUUUCCAAAUUGUGUCAAAUUUAAUGGCUUUUCUAAUUGUACAUUGAUUUAAAGAUGCAAACCUUUCAAACUUAUCAUUUUAUCAAACAGUUUGACAGUAAAUAAUAAAAAUCGAAGCUAUUAAAAGCAAGAAGAAACAUUGGAUUGCAAAACUGAAAUAUAUCAUAGAUGAUAUGCUUGAAUCAAAGCACAUAAAUAAUUUAUGAAUCAAUCAUCCAUUACCUUUGAAGCUCAAAUUCUGUAUUGGCCAUCUAGUAUAUAUGAAUUUUUGGGCCAUGAGAAAUCCUUAGACCAAACCAAACUUUUGGCCGUGAUUUUAUGCUGGGGAAUUGAAGAAUGCAGGAAAUGAUUUCAAGAUGGGCCAAGGAAUAAUCACAAACUUCUUAAGUAAAUAAGGUGAAUCUACUAUAAAAUAGUAAUUAAAUCAAGGUCGAUCUUUAAUUAUAAUUUUAUACCGUCAUUAGCAAUUGAAUUGAAGAGCAAAAUUGUCAAACUUUCUCAUUCAAGCAUUUCAUCAUAUGGACAAGGUGCGAACAUUAAUAAUAAAAUCAAUUUCUGCUUUAUAUGCUAAUAUAAUCAACUUUUGCUUUAAAUAAAUUACUUAAAUAGAAUUCAUGUUAUUAUAGGAUAUUGAUUGUAAAAUCAAUAAAAACGAAGGCAUAAAAGAAUGAGAAGAAGGGUACAUUUCAGACCUGAAAUGGCUUUCUGCAUCGGACCCAUACCCAAUCAAUACUAAUGUUUGGGACAUGAGCAAUCUUGGGCCAAUCUUCACCAUUUUCCCUUUGGCAUCUUCUGGAUAAGUGUGGACAGUAGGAGAUUUCGAGUAUGUGGAGGGUUGCGAGGGAACGCAUCUCUUCCUGUAGUGAUGUCAAUUUAGGGCAGUCACAAAUUCCAAGUUGACACGAGGAAAGGUUGCCCAUCAAUAAGUUGUACGGGGACAUGAGCAAUCUUGGGCCAAUCUUCACCAUUUUCCCUUUGACAUCUUUCGAAUAAGUGUGGACAACCAGAGAGUUGGAGUAUGUGGAGGGUAGUGAGGGAACGCAUCUCUUCUGGCAGUGAUGUCAAUUUUGGGCAGUCACAAAUUCGAAGCUGAGUCAGCGAGGAGAGGUUGCCUAUCCAGUGUGGUAAUGUUGCCAAACGAGUGCAGUUCCAAAUUUCGAGAGUUUGCAGAGUGGAAACAUGUUGAUGAAGCUCAUCUGGGAGUGUCAUCAAAUCAUCUAUCCUUUCAAUAGACACAGACUCCAAUGAAGAAGCAGUGGCCAACAAUGACUGCCGUAGUACCUCGUCUCUCACUUUCAUCAAUUUUAGUUCCUUGAGACAAGGUAACGAAGACGCUUGCACGGAUGUGAGCUUAGGGCAAUCGAAGAUCUUCAAACUAGAAAGAAGAGGAGAUGAAUGCAGUUCCAAGGAUGCCAGGUCACCACAAAACCUGAUAUCUAAUCGUGAAAGAAGAGGAGAUUGAGGCAGUCGUAAGGAUGUCAGCUUAGGGCAAUGGUGGAUCUCUAAAAUAGAAAGAAGAGGAGAUGAAUGCAAUUCCAAGGAUGCCAACUCGUCACAAAAGACGACCUCUAAUUGUGAAAGAAGAGGGGAUGAAUGUAAUUCCAAGGAUGCCAACUCAUCACAAAAGUAGAUCUUUAAUUUUGAAAGACAAGGAAGAGAAGGAGGUGGGUGUGUUGGUAAGCCCCUCCUCCACAAUUCCUUUAACUUUGGCAUUCGAUUGACAUUGAGGUUUUCAAGAGAUGGGAAGAAUGGCCCUUCUGAUGAACACUCCAUGUACUCCACCUUUUCUAGAUCAUCAAGCUGUAGAGACUUGAGGUGAGGGAGUCGGACAAAGCAUGGCAGAGUCUGGCAUCUUGAACAUCCUUCCAAAUUAACUGUGGUGAGGUUAGGGAGCAUGCUACUCAACCCACCAUUCAUCAUCCAACUUGGAAACCUAAUUCCCCCGUAACCUUCUAUGCAAAGCUUCUUUAGGUUUCGAUGUGGUUGUAGGCCUUCCAGCACUGACUCAACAUCCUCACUGGACUGAGCUCCUGAGCGCCGCCAGUUUAAUCUCAAGGACUGAAUGUGCUGUUUUCCCCCCAAAUUUGCUUCCCUGGAUUCUAGCACGACAUCCCUCACAUUUUCAAGCCCUUGAAUCCAUAGCCCUCCUCGGAGGUUAUUAAGCUCUUUCAAUUCACUCAGUCUACCGGCUCUUCUCACAUUUCCAACAGCAAAUACUGGUAGGCUUUGAAGCGAAGUCAGCUCUCCUAUUCCACAUGGCAUAUGACCCAAAGCAUGACAGUCAUCAUUUUCCAAGUGUCUAAGAUUGAUCAAUUCUAUUGUAUCUUCGGGAAAUUUUAUUAACUUAUAGCAUCCAACAAGCUUUAAUGUUUGCAAAUUCUUUAAUCUUGUAAUACUAUUUGGGAGUACUUCAAAUGCAUUGUACGAAAGAUCAAGAUAUCUUAGAUUACUUAAUUUGCCCAGAGAUUUUGGUACCUUAUAUACAAUGAAAUUAUUUAAGCUCAACACACGUAAAUGCUUAAAACUUGAAAAAUCUGUACUUUGAAUUGAAUCAAAUAGAUAUUCUUUAUAUGUUAUAAUGCUUAAAAAGGUCCUUAUGUGUUUUACCUUCAAAGCCUUCAACUUGAGAUUCAUUGAUUUAAACAACGAUAUAUGAUGAACUUCUUUUGAGAUCUCCUUCACAUCAUCUUCUAAAAUAAGGGACCCUAUAACUAAUUGUGCAAGGGCAUGGAUGAGAUCAUGCAUUUUGCAACUCAAUAUAUUAUUAGAAUCAUCUUUUCCAAACUCCUCCAACAAUGAUCUUGACAAUAAUUCCUCAAAAUAUUGAUGCCCUACAUUCUCAUCUAAAGGUUGAAUAUAACCCUGUGCCAUCCAUAAUUGCACCAACAUGUUUUUCUCAAUUUCAUAGUCUUUUGGAAAUAACGCACAGUAAGUAAAACAUGGCUUCAAAUAGAUUGGCAAAUCAUUGUAGCUUAACUUCAACACCGAUAAAACAUUAUCAUUUCCAGCUCCUAGUGAUAGCAAAUUUCUAUUAUUUUUUAUGGACAGCCAAUGACUUUCUUCUGUUUUCAGGCGCAAUAUUGUUCCCAAUGUUUUGAUGACAAGCGGAACUCCCUUACACAUAUUUACAAUUUCUUUUCCCAUUUCCACCAACUUUGGAUGCACUUUCUCUGGUUCUUCUGUGAAUGCUAUUUUUGAAAAUAAAUCCCAAGCCAGGCUGUCUUUCAACCCUUCCAAAAAAAAGGGAGAAUUAAUUCCCAUUAUUGAUGCGACUUUACUAUGUCGGGUGGUCACCAAAAUUUUACUCCCCUUUCCAACAACCAUCAACAAACUUUUCAAUUGAUCCCAUUUUUCAGGAUUUUCAUUCCAAACAUCGUCCAGUACUAGCAAGCAUCUCUUUUGACUAAUGUUUUCAUGAAGGAGAUUUUUUAAACCAUUCAACUCCAACCUUUCUACAUCUUGGUUACACACUUCUUUUAAGAUUUUUUUAACCAACGACUUCACAUCAAAAUGAUCAGAAACACAAACCCAUAUUCUAGGCUCAAAACAUUGCACCACUUUCUCAGCAUUGUACACCAACUGGGCAAGGGUGGUCUUACCCACCCCCCCAAUCCCAACAAUCGCAACCAUGGAAGGAAUUUCUUGAUUAUCAGAUGACACCAACGACUUUAUUAUCUCCUCUUUGUUUUCUUCUCUUCCCACAAUUUUAGAGGUCAACACAAAUGAGUGAGUCUCUCUCCAACUACUCUCCACCUCCCUCUGAACUAUGUUCCCUUGAACAAGUUUUAGCAGAUUCAUUUCUUUUACAAUUUCAUCAACCUCUUCUUUGAUAUUCUUGACCCUACUACUCAUCUUAAAAC
rnacentral:lncRNA from 1 species